UUGAAAUCUACGGCUAUUGAAGAAUUGCCUGAAUCCAUUGGUUCUUUGAAGGAGCUCAAGACUCUAGAUGCCUCUUAUUGCAAAUCGUUAGCCCACAUACCCAAUUCAAUAGGCAAUUUAACAUCUCUGUCUUACCUUGACCUGAAUGAAUGCCAUAAACUUGUUCAACUUCCAGACUCUAUAGGCUCCCUCGUGUCCUUGCUGUGGUUGUUAUUAUCGGGAUGCCAUUCGUUGAAACAAAUUCCAGACUCGAUCGGAAAGUUGACAUCAUUGACGGAGCUGAAUUUGAAAUCUACGGCCAUUGAAGAAUUACCUGAAUCCAUUGGUUCUUUGAAGGAGCUCAAGACUCUAGAUGCCUCUUAUUGCAAAUCGUUAGCCCAUAUACCCAACUCAAUAGGCAAUUUAACAUCUCUGUCUCACCUUGACCUGAAUGAAUGCCAAAAACUUGCUCAACUUCCAGAAUCCAUAGGCUCCCUUGUGUAUCUACAGUGGUUGUUAUUGUCAGGAUGCCACUCGUUAAGACAAAUCCCAGACUCGAUCGGAAAGUUGACAUCAUGAUAAAGCUGGAUUUGAAAUCUACGGCCAUUGAAGAAUUACCUGAAUCCAUUGGUUCUUUGAAGGAGCUCAAGACUCUAGAUGCCUCUUAUUGCAAAUCGUUAGCCCACAUACCCAACUCAAUAGGCAAUUUAACAUCUCUGUCUCACCUUGACCUGAAUGAAUGCCAAAAACUUGCUCAACUUCCAGAAUCCAUAGGCUCCCUUGUGUAUCUACAGUGGUUGUUAUUGUCAGGAUGCCACUCGUUAAGACAAAUCCCAGACUCGAUCGGAAAGUUGACAUCAUUGAUAGAGCUGGAUUUGAAAUCUACGGCCAUUGAAGAAUUACCUGAAUCCAUUGGUUCUUUGAAGGAACUCAAGACUCUAGAUGCCUCUUAUUGCAAAUCGUUAGCCCACAUACCCAAUUCAAUAGGCAAUUUAACAUCUCUGUCUUACCUUGACCUGAAUGAAUGCCAUAAACUUGCUCAACUUCCAGACUCUAUAGGCUUCCUCGUGUAUCUACCGCGGUUGUUAUUGUCAGGAUGCCACUCGUUGAGACAAAUCCCAGACUCGAUCGGAAAGUUGACAUCAUUGACAGAGCUGCAUUUGAAAUCUACGACCAUUGAAAAAUUACCUGAAUCUAUUGGUUCUUUGAAGGAGCUCAAGACUCUAGAUGCCUCUUAUUGCAAAUCGUUAGCCCAUAUACCCAACUCAAUAGGCAAUUUAACAUCUUUGUCUUCCCUUGACCUGAAUGAAUGCCAAAAACUUGUUCAACUUCCAGACUCUNNNNNNNNNNNNNNNNNNNNNNNNNNNNNNNNNNNNNNNNNNNNNNNNNNNNNNNNNNNNNNNNNNNNNNNNNNNNNNNNNNNNNNNNNNNNNNNNNNNNNNNNNNNNNNNNNNNNNNNNNNNNNNNNNNNNNNNNNNNNNNNNNNNNNNNNNNNNNNNNNNNNNNNNNNNNNNNNNNNCUUAUUGCAAUCGUUAGCCCACAUACCCACACUCACACAGACAUUUAAACUCUCUGUCUCACCUUGAACAGAAUGAAUGCCAAAAACUUGCUCAACUUCCAGAAUCCAUAGGCUCCCUUGUGUAUCUACAAUGGUUGUCAUUAUCCAAAUGCCACUCAUUGAGACAAAUUCCGAAUUUGAUUGGAAAGUUGAUAUCAUUGACAGAGCUACAUUUGAAAUUUAUGGCCAUUGAAGAAUUACCUGAAUCCAUUGGUUCUUUGAAUGAGCUCAAGACUUUAGAUGCCUCUUAUUGCAAAUCGUUAGCCCGCAUACCUAACUCAAUAGGCAAUUCAACAUCUCUGUCUUGCCUUGACCUAACGGAAUGCCAUAAACUUGCUCAACUUCCAGACUCUAUAGGCUUCCUCGUGUAUCUACCACGGUUGUUAUUGUCGGGAUGCCACUCAUUGAGACAAAUCCCAGACUUGAUCGGAAAGUUGACAUCAUUGAUAGAGCUGCAUUUGAAAUCUACGGCCAUUGAAGAAUUACCUGAAUCCAUCGGUUCUUUGAAGGAGCUCAAGAUUCUAGAUGCCUCUUAUUGCAAAUCGUUAGCCCACAUACCCAACUCAAUAGGCAAUUUAACAUCUCUGUCUCACCUUGACCUAAAUGAAUGCCAAAAACUUGCUCAACUUCCAGACUCCAUAGGCUCCCUUGUGUGCUUGCCGCGGUUGUUAUUGUCGGGAUGCCACUUGUUGAAACAAAUUCCAGACUCGAUCGGAAAGUUGACAUCAUUGACUGAGCUACAUUUGAAAUGUACGGCCAUUGAAGAAUUACCUGAAUCUAUUGGUUCUUUGAAGGAGCUCAAGACUCUAGAUGCCUCUUAUUGCAAAUCGUUAGCCCAUAUACCCAACUCAAUAGGCAAUUUAACAUCUUUGUCUUCCCUUGACCUGAAUGAAUGCCAAAAACUUGCUCAACUUCCAGACUCCAUAGGCUCCCUCGUGUCCUUGUUGCGGUUGUUAUUAUCGGGAUGCCAUUCGUUGAAACAAAUUCCAGACUCGAUCGGAAAGUUGACAUUAUUGAUUGAGUUACAUUUGAAAUCUACGCCAUUGAAGAAUUACCUAAAAGCAUUAANNNNNNNNNNNNNNNNNNNNNNNNNNNNNNNNNNNNNNNNNNNNNNNNNNNNNNNNNNNNNNNNNNNNNNNNNNNNNNNNNNNNNNNNNNNNNNNNNNNNNNNNNNNNNNNNNNNNNNNNNNNNNNNNNNNNNNNNNNNNNNNNNNNNNNNNNNNNNNNNNNNNNNNNNNNNNNNNNNNNNNNNNNNNNNNNNNNNNNNNNNNNNNNNNNNNNNNNNNNNNNNNNNNNNNNNCAAUCCUGCAUUCCUGAAUUUUUCUCACUAAACUUUCUCAAGAGACUCACUCUUUCUAACUGGCUUAAAUGUCUCUCAAACCUUUCUAUAACAUGUUAUAGAAAAGCUAUGAAACUUGAUUUUGUAUCUUACAAAAGUUCGAGCUGUUAGUUGGGCAUUUUAUUUACCUUUUGUCUUGUGAUACAGUUCUCUUAAAGCGUUUCAAGACUCCUCCUGCCAACAACUUAGCCAUGGACUACCAAACAACAGAUGAACAUCCUUUGAAGAGAUCAAAACCUUUUGGAAUCUCAAAUGAAGUACUUAUUUCAUUUUGCUUUUUCUUUGCCGUUCUUCAGUUAUUAAAGGAUGGUUCCAUCUACAAAGAGAAGUAUUUUACUGAAUGAUCAAUUAUUUGUUAUGUGUGGAAUGCUUUGAUCAACAUUCGUAACUAGAUCCAUCAAACUUGUUACAUUCUCGCUAUUUUAAGUCUUUUGUUCUGGAAGUAGGGAUUUUAGUUUUCUUGAAUUAUGAAGUUAAGGUGGAAUAUAUUGCCCGUUCUCUUGUGUUUCUCUCUCUUAAUUAUCUUUAUUUGCACGCCAUUGAUCGAAAACUUUUUGAAAGCGCACUCAUUUGGGUGCUAUUGCGGCAUAUGAUCAUGCAUUGAGAAUCUUCACGAGUGUAGGGGUUAUCUCACAUCAGUUGUGGAAGGAAAAAGUAGUUAGUUUAUAAUUGUGAUGGAAAGUCUCAUCCUUUAAGUUAGCUUUUAAGAUGAGAUAAGCCCAAGACCACCCAACAAAAAAAAACUUUUAGUUUUGAGGUUUCUAGAUACCCUUAAUCUUCAUGAUGUUAACCUAAUGAAAUUAUUGAAGAUUGGAAGGAUAACAAGAAAGUUUGAUGGAGAGAGAAAGGAGCAAAAGGGCUAGGGUUGUCAAUUUGUGUCCUCUUGUCAUAAUUGUGUUUGUGAUUGUGUCAAUUCAUCAUGACUUCUAUUAGACAUGUCAACCCAUUGAAUUAGAUGAAAACAUGUAAAUAUCUCAUCAAGUUAAAUGUAUCGUGAUGUGUCAUAUUGGGUUGUGUUUGUGUUUUUCGUGUUUGGUAUUGUUAUGUAAACAGUAUGUGUCACUAUUGGCAGCAUUAAUGAGAAGCGUGGACUGGAUAGGUGUUGAUUAUGUCUCCUCCCAUCAUGCAUGCAUUGUGCUCACGUAUGCUAGUACAAGAGGGGCUCUCAUAUGAGUCUUUUGCAUCUUUUGAGUGCCAUGGUUUUGAUCAAUUUUCUAAAGGACUCAUUAGUUUUGUAAUCUUCAUGACUUUCUAAUAGGUGAAUAAUUUGCCGGGAAAGAUUUUUCCCAUUACAUACAACUACCAGAGCUUUGGUCAGAGUUCUUAUUCUUCAGAUGACUUGCCUAGAAAUGUAGUCGUUACCCUAAGUCAUGAUUCACUUGUUAAAAGUAUGGAUUUCCAUCCAGUGCAACAAAUUCUACUGCUCGGUUAGCACUUCUUUCUUACUCUAUGAAGAACUUGUUUCUUGAUCUUCUUUAGUUGGAUAUACUUGUUGGCCAUAAGUUUGUGUUUUGGUGCUUGGAAGAUUCCUGUUUGUUGUUUUUUAUGCUCGCUUCAGCUAUUUGAAACCAAGGGAUAUGAUUCUUCAAAUUUUCUGCAUCAAUAAUUUUUAGUGGGAACAAAUACGGGUGAUGUCAUGGUAUGGGAAGUAAGCAACCGUGCAAGGAUUGCUUUGAGAAAAUUCAAGGUUUGGAAUUUGGGAACACGUUCAAUGGCGUUGCAGGUAUAUAAGUUCCACUCUAAAUAAAGUCAUGUAUCUUGUUUUUGGACAUGUAAUUGGGGGUUUUGAUUCUUUGUAGGCUUCUCUAGCCAAUGACUAUACAGCAUCCAUUAAUCGUGUAACGUGGAGUCCUAAUGGACUUUAUUUUGGUAUGUACAGAUGUCACUUCUACUUGUCUUAUUGCAAAUUGAUGAAACAACUAACGCGCUGAGAAUGAGACUUCAUUGCAAUAUUUUCAGGAAAAAUGUUCAUAUGCUGCUAUUACUGAUGAUUUGUGGUGUUCACUUUAGGUGUUGCUUAUUCCAAACACAUGGUGCACAUAUACUCGUAUUACGGUGGUGAUGACAUGAGGAACCACCUUGAGGUUUGUUGCUAAACAAGGAGUGAAAAAAUUCGGCUUCUUUUUGUAGACAAUUGCCACAUAAAAGUGAGUAAAACUUGAUUUUGACUCUAAACUAAUGUUUGAUACAGCUCGAGGCUCAUGCUGGAAGUGUUAAUGAUCUUGCCUUUUCAUAUCCAAACAAAUGGUUAUGCGUUGUGACCUGUGGAGAGGACAGGUCAAUCAAGGUAUAUCUUGAUUAUUUUCCUCAGUGUUGCAGCGUUCCAUCGUUUGAUCCCUUAACUAAGCUAGUAGUUUUGUAGGUAUGGGAUGUAAUGACUGGGGCUAAGCAAUACUGUUUCAAGGGUCAUGAAGCACCUGUAUAUUCUAUUUGUCCACACCAUAAAGAAAAUAUCCAGGUACUUGAUUAUUUCACGUACUAACAAAGACACCCUGCGAGCAUGGCCAAUCAGAUGUACCCUUGACUAUACACUAGACUUUUGUUUUCUAAAACUCAGUUAGGUAAAAAAAAAAUUGGUUCAAUUUGUAUGAGGAGUAUGAACCUAUGUUUUGAAGGACCUUGUUCAUUUCAAGGGUUUUGCAAGUCUUCCGACUUUUAACCUGUCUUGAUUAGAAUGUGCUUGUCAAACAUGGUGAAAUUGGUCCAAAGAUCAACCUACUAAUUUGAUUCUUUCAAGUAAUGCUACUAAGCAUCGACAACUAGGUAAAGGUCUUUGCAAUAAUGACUUCCUGCUUAAUUAUAUAUUCAAAAAGAAAAUUCCUCUACUACCAUUGAUUGUUCUCCCUUAGUUUUCUCUUUUAGUCACGAUUGGUUAAAUUUAUAAUAGAAGGCUGUUUAUUGUGUUUGAGUGGAGCAGCAAUUGGCAAUGUUAUCUUCUUCUUCUUCUUCUUUUUAAACAUUUAUGGUUGUGCAUAGUGUACACUUUAUUACAAAGAUGUCUUAUGAAAUCUCAUCAUUCUAGGAUGCUAUGUUUAAAUAAUUAUAGUUUAAGUGGAUGUGCUCUAUUUGGGCAUGUUACUGAAAUUGGUUAUACAAUUGUUUUAUCGUGUAGUUCAUCUUCUCAAUAGCAACAGAUGGGAAAAUUAAGGCUUGGCUUUAUGACAACAUAGGGUCAAGAAUUGACAACGAUGCACCGGGUCACUCUUCUACCGUGAUGGCAUACAACGCCGAUGGAAAAAGGUUUAGACCAUCAGCAUUGUAUAUCAAGCUUGAUUUCAUCCCGAGUCUUUCUUUUUCACUGAAAUAACCUAUUUUAGCGAUUUUAAUUUGCUAUAGGUUGUUCUCGUGUGGGACCAAUAAAGAAGGAGAGUCAUACUUGGUUGAAUGGAAUGAAAGUGAGGGGGGUAUCAAGCGUACAUAUCAUGGACUUGGAAAGAGUUCUAGUGGGGUUGUGCAGUUUGAUACCAUCAAAAAUAGAUUUUUGGCUACUGGUGACGAGUUCAUUAACAAAUUUUGGGAUAUGAACAAUGAUAGCCUACUUACAAGUACCGAUGCUGAUGGUGGAUUGCUGGUAAUUCACUGUUGUUAAUUUAUUUUGACUGAAUUAACUGAAACUUUCUAUUAAUUACCUCACUCUUUAAAUUUGCAGGCUUCACCUUGUAUUAGAUUUAACAAGGAAGGAAUCCUGUUAGCCGUCUCAACAAGUGAUAAUAGCAUCAAAAUUCUAGCAAAUUCAUUUGGGAUUGAGCUGCUAAGGACUGCAGAAAAACAUAUGCUUCUAGAGUCACUGCUAGGAGUCUUUUGAAGGUAAGCUUUUUUAACAAUACACUAACUUUAUGUAAAGAAGUCACUACUAGUCCAUUGUGGUCGGCUAAAACCCAAGGACUUGAUUACACUAGUUAUUUAAUUAAUGCUCUUUCAGUACCUAGACUUGAUUUAACUAAGUGUCCAUGCAGUCUUGGACCCUUUUAUUGACCUAUGCCACUUAAUUGGUGUCCAUGCAUGAGUGCACAAUAAAGGAAAAGUAAACAAUCAUUAUUAAUUCAACAAAAGUAAAGUAUAAGAAAAUACACCUAAUGAAGUGCCAAGCGAAGAAUACACAUGGCUUUGUUUUUAAGCCUCAAGACAACAACCUUGUAAGCUAAAUUCAAAUUAAGUCCAAUUCCUUUUCUCAAACACUAUUCUAUGUAACCUCACCUAAAUCAAAGGCACUCAUUAAAAUCUCUAAACCAUAUGUAGAGUAACUAAAACUAGAAGAAACUAAGCUACAUCUAGCACUAAAACUUAACGACCUAAUCAAGGUCUUUGUUAUUAACCAUUUUCCAAUUUUUCAUAUUUUCGAUUUUUUUUGAAAAUUUAAUUUUAAUUAUUUUCUGAAAAUAGGAAAUCGGGCCGGGCCCUUGGGCCUGGUCCGGAUAUGAGCCUCAUACUGGUCUCACGAAUCUGGGCUAAUGGACAAAAUUCGGGCUAUUAUAUCCAGAUCCAUCCAAUUCUAACUCUACUGAGCCCAAUUCAGAUUAUACCUAUUUUAAGCCCAUUUACCCAUGGAAGCUACUCUAGCUCACUUUCUCAUCUAACUGCACCAAGUCCAUCUUUAAGCCCAAUUUCUAUUACAAAUAGAUUAAACCCUAAGCCCACGCCAACCCUAUCUUACUAUUAUUAUUUUUAAUCCAUUUUUUCCUCUUUUCUUACAUCUUUCGUCAUUUUUUAUUAUUAUAAAAGUAAUCAAUGUUAGGUGUGCGAAGAGCCCCCCCUUUUUUUUAAGAGACUACCUGGUAAACUUUCCUGCAGUAACUUAAGCUAUAAAGGAUGGGUGAUGUAGCUUUUGUAAGGUCUUUGACAAAUAUUUCACAACUUUUUAGGAAAUUGCUUCGCCCGAUUUUGGGAUGUUGGAGCUGCUGUCGACGGCAUUGGGAAACAAUUUGGUAAAAGAAGUUGAAUUAACCUUCCAGCAAAGAAUUAUAAAGUGGAGAUGGUCAAUGGCAUUGGGAAACAAUUUGGUAAAAGAAGUAUUUCUAAGAGGUAUAAUAAGUCAGAACUCAACAAAAACGUCAGUGGAAGUGUUCAAUCAUGAAGAAGAAGAAGAAGCAAAACACCAUUCACUAAGGGAUAACUCGUGCACGCAGAAGGGAGGAAGCAGGGGAAAAUGGCUCCAUCUUCCAUCGUCUCCAGUCACCAUUGGAUAACCUUUCGUCGCGGUGUCUCAAGUUCCGAUAUAGCCGCUAGCUACCAUCGCCGUUCAUUACGAGUUCCAACUCCUUCGUUGGUUGCGCCGUCGACCAUCAGUCUCAGGAGGAUCACGUUUGUUCAUUUCAUCGCGAGCACCAUUCCAGAACCAAAACAAACAAAAACAUCGAGCAAGGAAAAUUCAUCUAAAAAAAGCGAUUCCGUUCGAUUCAGUUGGCGAUUUCAAGCGUUCUGAAUCGAUCACAGUGGCCGUCGCCGGCAUCAACAGCCUCUUCAAUGCCGCGACUCAUCUCCUUCGUUUCCCUUCAACGGCCGAGAGCUUCGAAAUGUUGUCGUUCCGCUCGAAGCUUCUCCACCUGUUCAGGUUUCGAUCAUCGACACGUUCUAGAGCUUCUUUCAGCGAUUCGUGCGCCAAACCGCGGCCUCAGUCCACUUGAUUAAGCAGGUAGCAUCUCCUGUUCUGUUGUCACGAGUAAGAGGCCGAGAGUCUGAUUCUCUUAUUAUGAUGAAAUUGAUCAUAUUUGAAUUUUUUUCUUUGACUUCGAACAUCAUGUACUGAUUUAGGUUGAGUCUAGUUGUAAAUUCGAGUUCGAAAUGGCUUUGAUAUGUUCCACAACCGAUUGACCAUAAUCUGUUCGAUGAAAUGUGUCUGAGACCCUGUUGUGAAUUGAUUCCAGUAAUCGUCCGAUCUGAAAAAGCGCAUUAGUGAUGUUCACUUGAUAUUGUUUGAUUUUUCAAUCUUUAGACAUGAUUACGAGUAUAUGCCAUAGUUGCCAAGAAUAAAACUGACUCUCCGCAUGUUUUCUCAGUGCUUCUUGUGAUCCUUUGGUGAUAGGUGGUGGUUGCCGGCAAGGGGAGAUGGAAUGGAGUCGCUGGCACAUGCAUUAGUCUUUGGUGAUGAUCGUAGCAUGCCCUGUUGAACAGAAUCGAGACGAUGUCGCUGAGCGUUAAUCGCCAAUUCAGAUAAUGAACUGCGGCCGACACAUGUUGCGGUCACUAACGGGAGCAAUGUUAUGCCUAGUCACUAUCCGCGUCCUUGCCACUGAGUCACCGUGCAAUCUCCUCGACUGCCAAGCUUUGCUUCAGUCCAUGCCUUGCAGACCAUCCUUGCCAUUGCAAUUGCUGUGCCACACCUUACCAUAAUGGCUAUUCAAGUGAACUCCGCAUGCGAUAGCACUGCCAUCAGAAUAAACCGCCAUACAUUACCAUUAUGGAUUGAUGUGGCAAUAGAGCUAUAUCCAUCACGUGUCUUUACAAUCGGUUGUUUCCGUUCCAACUGAGUUUUAGAGUCCAUUGUAUGUUCAGAUUUCCUUCGCUGCUUUGUUUUAAUGUUCAGGAUUUUGCGAGUCUUCUUAAACCGAAUCAUGGGAAAACUAAAUGGUUCGAAGUCCAGUCGUCAUGGGGUCGAUACUUUGUUGUAAAAUCAUUGUGCAUUACCUGCUUCCUGAUUCUUGUCUUGUCCUUUGGUUAUUGGUUACUUCACCUUCGUUGAUUUCAUUGUCCGGAAGUAGGUAAUCAAUCCAAGAGCACCUGCUAAAAUUGCAUUUUAGUUGUGUCAUCUGCUUCCUGCCUCAUUCUCUGUGAAUGACAUUCUACUUCUUGCGUGCUGUUGAGGGAAAUCAAUGGUUGACAAUCGAUAUGAAGUGAGCAAGUUAUACUUGUUUCCUGUCUUUAGUUGAUAACUUUUUGCGUAUGACAAUCGAUUAAUUAAACCAGUCCAUAGCUUGCACGAAAAUAGUAAAUGAGGAUUUACUUCUUUCUUGGAAUUAUCAAUGUCAUCGCUUUGUCUCUGGUAGUGGAAGAGUUUAUCAUUCUUUUUGAACUUUUUGAACUUGUAUAAGAAUCAAUGGAAUUCUCAUGGAGCAUUGAGUACCCAAAAUUUACAAGUUAUAUGAAGUGGUGGUGUCCUUUUGUUGCAUAUGCUGGAGUUUAGCGGUUAGUGUUCAUCUAUGUUUGUUGAACCGUUUGAUUUAUCACUUCAAUCGACAAAAUCUCAUAAACAGACAUGACAAUUGCGAGAGACGUCUUUGAACUGGCACUUUGGUGAUGAUGGUGCUCCUUCGUGUCGACUGUAUUUACUUGUUUGAGGAAGAAUCAUUUAUGAUAUUUUAUGAUAUUGGAGAAGUGAAUAUGUAUGGAAGGUUCCUUGGAUUCACAAGAAUAAAACCACUCGUGAUCCUGGAUCCACUCAUUGAAGAAAUGGAGAGAGAGAAUUUCCACAUGGACGAUGUGAAUGGGUCGUUGCUAAGCUUCUCGGCUGUUUGUUGAAUUUGAUUUGCAUAAUGGGUUGAAGCUAGCAUUUUAGUAGUGCUGGAAUUCCAAAACUGAGACGAACUGAAGAAUUUGAUGUUAAGUAUCUAAGCAAUGCCCACAAUUAGUAACAUGUUCUGAGCUAAUCAAGGUUUGUCAUCUGAGUAUAUCGCCAAGUAGUGCAUAACUUAGUCCUUUUUAGAGUAAUGCAUCAUUUAGUUAGAAAUUCGAGCAUGUUUAGAUUAGUACUUAGCUCAUGUGGGUUACUGUCUCGGGCUUAGCUCGAGAAUUCCAGCACAUUAUGACUGGAUGUAUAACCUUCCACAUCAUACAAAACCACAUAUCAGACGAACCCAAAGAUUUUCCGUUGUUCCACAAAUUAAGCAGGCUGGCACUUUAUCUUGCUGCUGGCAUAGUCGGCAAACCUGAUAAAGAACAGAACCAAAAUCUUAUUCACAAUCAGUUCAAAGAUGGGCACCCCUGAUGAUGUCGCAGUACGUAACCACAUUUCCGAUAAAGUUAAUCCUUGCAGUCAAUCAAGUAUGUGCCAUACUUGAAAUCUUUAGCAAUGUAAUUGAACCUUCCAAGAAAAUCAAAGGAAGACCCUUGGCACGGCACCAGCCUGGGGUAAUGUUGUAUUGACUUAUUUUAAACAUAAAGAUUGAAGAAUCAAGCGAAUGUGCACAUGUCCAUCAACGUAUGUCUUACAGGGCAUUUUUUUCAUCUUCAUAUAUAUAUUCGAGUUCAAAGGUACAUUUUUGCUACAAAUUCAUGUGGAUAGAGCGCAAUCACAAUUAAGUAGAAUAUCACUUGAAAUGUAAAAUAUAACCAUGCACCAUCUUAAUUAAGAGCCUGGAGAAGUUUAAGGUGAGGUGAGUAUAUAAGUUUAACACAUAAACUCAAUAUUUUAUGUUUGGACAGUGCUAUUACUUUCGUCACCAUUUGACUCACAAGAAAUAUGACGUAGAAGUGACAGGACCAUCAAAUCUAAUAACCAUGAUGAGACACUGCAAAUAUUCUCAUGUGAGAGUAUGAGAAACAACAGAAAAACAAGUCCAAGAAGCCACACAUUGACAUAUUCCAAAUCACCAAAGAAAUGUCAUAAUAAUUUAAAAAGAAAUCCAAAACUUUGUAAGCAAGAUAGAGUAAAGAUCUAACAUAAGCCUGAAUGAAAAAAAAAAGAUUUUUUUUUUUAUAUACUUUUCAUCCCUGUACUGCCACCUUUUUAUGUAAUUAUGUCCAUAUACCUUAAACUUGUCGAAUCAAGUCUUUCUAUAUUUACAAAUUUACUAAUCAAGACCCAACCAAAUUUAAUUGACGUAACCCUCGAAUGAUGCCCCAAUAUGAUGCAAAUGCUCACGUAGACAUAUGUGGAAAAAUUUAGCCAAUGUAGACAAUGUUAGAAUGUGACAUGGAUAAAAUUUAGCUAAGGUGUUAGUCAAAGUAACGUCCAUAUUGGAGAUUUUUUUAUCUAUGUCACACACUGACAUCAUUUGAUGAUUACGCCAACUGGAUCUGGCAGGAUUUUGUGUUUAUUGGGAUUUGAUUAGAAAAAUUUGUUAAAUUUGAAUGACUUGACUCGACAAAAUAAAAGUACGAUGGAGAGAACAGUAAAGUAGGGAAUAUUUCAAAAAACCAACCGCAAAUCCAGUCAGCAAAUAUCAGCAAAAGAUAGUGGCAGUUGCUGAGAAAUUAUGGUCUAAACUACUCUUAUCUGCACCAGCAAAAGAAAGCCUCACCUGACAAGACAACUAAGUCUAUUUUGUACCACAUGAGCAAUGAAUGGAAUGGUCACUCUUGAGUACUCAAAAUUCCGCUGGUGUGUGGGUCCGAUCUCAACGACAUCAAAAGCCAAGAAAAGGUCGCGACUGUGAACAUGUCUAUAAACUUAGUCUCAUUUUAUCAUAUGCUUUGACAGGGAACAAAAUUUCUAAGCCAAACUAGCAGCUGUGAGGGAAAUAUAUUCAGCAAGGGAUGUUGACACCUAAAAUUUGAUGAUCUAGUUAAUUAUUCAUUGCAAAAAUUAAGUAAAAUUGAGGAUUGAUCCCGGUCCCUAAAAAGAUAUUAGCUAAGUUGCAUAUACAUAUUAGAAGCAUUUUUCAUUCAUUAAAUAGUAAGCCCACAUAUGAUUACACUUCGAUUGGACUGGUGUAAGGAGAUUAUGAGCUUAAUUGAGUUUAUUAGACUAAGCCCAUGAGAAUGAGAAAUUCGGCCUAACCCGUCUAUUUCCUUUGCUCGACCAGACAUCAAAUAUGCAGUAUAAGGAAUUUAGCACGAAUGAAGGAGCAAAUAUUCGUUAUUAAGGAAUAUAUUCUGAAUAAUUUUUUGGGAGAAUUAACUGGCCAAUUCUUUCCAUUAUUAAAGAUGCGCAUCAUGCUUAAAGUAGGCAAGUUAAUUUUUCUUAGUCAAAUCUGGAAGUAAUUGAACACUAUUUGAAAGGAUAAAAACAAAAAUAGAAAAAUAAAAAGGAAUAAAACAGGGAAAAAGUACAAAAAAAGUCAUAAACUAUUGCAUCGAUAUCAAUUCAAUUCUAAAAUUUUCAAUUAAAUCAAUUAAAUCAUAAAUUUUUUCACAUUGGUACUAAUUUAGUCAAUUUGACCAAUUUUGGUCGGCUAGUGGCCAGAUGUUGACGUAGCAAUUUUUAAAUAAUUUUUUUGAAUUUUUUUAUUAAUUUUUCCUUCUUCUUUUUUUCCCUUUUCCUUUUCUCUCUUCUUCCACCUUAAACUAUACUCACGGUGGCCAGCAAACCUUUGGUGAGGCUCGCCAACCAUUGGGCGAGGGCCGUGAAGCCCUUGUCGGCCGCUAGUGAGGGUCGUGGCCUUCGCUUAGCCUUGCCCAAGGCCGCGAGCGAGGCUACUUUGCCUAGGUCCAGGUGAGACCAGCCUCGCCCUAGCCUUGCCUUAGGCGAAGGCGGCCUCGCCCGUGGUUGGCAAGGCCAUGGCGGCCAUCGCCAAGGCCUAAGCAAAGGUCACCAUGUCCUCACCUGCAGCCCCGGGCGAGGGUGUGACCCUCCCUGGCAACUGGCCAGUGCUUCGCGGCCCUUGCCUAGUGGUUGGCGAGCCUUGUGGGAGGCUUGCUGACCACCGCGAGUAUAGUUCAAGGAGGAAGAAGAGAGAAAAGAAAAGGAAAAAGGAAAAGGGAAAAAAGGAAAAAGAAAAGGAAAGGAAAAGGAAUUAUUAUAAAAGAUUAAAAAAAUUAUUAAAAAUUGUCACAUCAUUGUCUGGUUAGCGUCCACAUCAGUGUCGGCUUGCCAAAAUUAGCCAGAUGGAAUGAAUUGGUACCAAUAUGAAAAUGUUUAAGACUAAAUUGAUUCAAAUGAAAAAGUUUAGGACUAAAUUGGUACAAAUGCAAUAAGUUUAUGAUUUUUUUGGUACUUUUCCCAAGAAAAUGGUGAAGAAAGAAAGAGAAUGAAGGAGCAGAGGACGCCGACAAAGAGGAAGAGGAGGGAGCGAAGCCAAUGGUAGCGUGGGAGGAGCUAGGGUUGGAGGCGGCGGCGGUGACGAAAGGGAGGGGGUGAAGGAGAAGGAGAGAGGGGAGGAGGAGUUAGGGUUUACGGUCACAAGCAAAGAAAGAAAAGAGAAAACAAGAAAAAAGAAAGGAAAAGAGAAAACAAGAAAAAGAAAAAAAGAGAGAAAGAAAUAAGAAAAAAAAUAUAAUAUUAACAAAUUCAAAAUUUUUAGUUAGUAAAAUUUUUAGGAAUAAAUUUUUCAUUAUCUAAGGACUUUAAAACAUUUUGGAAAAUGUUUUCCAAUUCUUUCAAAUAGAAAUCGUUUUUAUGAAUUUAAGCUUUGGAGGGAAAACCUAUUCUAUUGAUUAGGAAAAUAGUUUAUGUUAACUUAUUUUCCUAAGUGAAUCAAACACUGGUAAAUGAGGAAAACGCUUAUUUAGGAAAUUGUUUUUCGCAAAACAAACACACCCUUCACUGUGUUCCCAAACACCUAGGGAGCUAUAGGACAUUAGUGUUCGCCGACACAUUUUCUAGGAUUGCCUUUUCCACAUUUUAUUUUUCAAAUUUCCAUGUUCUUUAACAAUAUUUCGGAAAAUGAAUGAUACAUGGGGGGAAAUUAGGAAUUCAACAUGAAACGUUGCAAACUAUUAAUUUGGAGGAGAGAGAUAAAAAUGAUUAGAUGGAGUGUAAAGACUGGAUAAUCUUUAAAUAUGAUGCAGCAUGGAGAAAUCUAAUUUGAGAAAAUUAUUUCGAAAGAGAUUUAUUUUGAGAGCUACUUUCUCGGUCAAAUCUCUUUUGAAAAAAGUAAUGCGUCCCGCACACUUUUAAUAACAAUAUCCUAUAUAAUCCCACGAUUGAUAUGCUUUUGUUAUCGACUCAUGUUCAUUAGCAGCUUCGACCAAAAAAAUGAAGAAGAAGAAAAAAAAAUGUACAUUAGCAACAGGAGAAGGUGAUUGUCGGUAACCACUGGGAGUUCGCCCCAAUGACCACUCUUCCAACUUGGAAGGGGGAUGUUGGGAGUUCAAAUUCCUAACUUCGCGGGGGGAUUGGGGUGGGGAUGAUUUCAUUUCAAGAAUGGAUUUCGACUCCCACGUCCUGCAAUGAGGCAGGGCAAAAGUCUGAAAGUGAGUGUUAGAGUAAGAUUAUAGUAGGAUCGAAAAAAAGAAAAAAGAUGACUGUUGGUCGUUAGUUGUCUUUUUCUAUUCUGUCUAGUAAUACAAAAGGCUAGCCAAGUCAGACAAUGCUGGAGGAUCUCAAAUCUCAAUGAAAGCACAUGCAUGCACCAUCCUCGUAUAAUGCUGAGGAUCGGCGGAGAUCACAGCUGGCGCACGUGAGUAUUGCUCGUUGGUUCUCUUUUCUAUUUUCUUUCGUUAAUAUCGAAAGGCAAGUCAAGUCAAUCCGUACUGGAUCUCAAAUUUUGAUCAAAGCACCAGGCACGUGAUUGCAUGUGAGUAAUUGCUCGUUGGGUUCCGCACACAUUCCGCAAGAUGCUGCGGAAACUUCGCGUGCAAUGACUGUUCUUUCCGCGGCAUGUUUCGCUGCGGUUCGAUUAGCAUGAAGAGACUUCGACCGUUGGAUAGCUAGGCCCCAACAUUAUAUGCUUUGCACAAAUAGCCCCGGUCGAUCUUUUCAUGCGUCAACAAUUUUUAUCUAAUUAAUUUGACUAACCCAUAUAUAUAUAUAUAUAUAUCCGGAUGGAGAGGAAAUCCUAUUCAGGUAGAUAAAUUUCCACCGUAUAAUUCUAAUAAUGGAAAUUUGGUUCAUUCACUCUAAAUAUUUUGCCUUCCAUACCCAAAAUUUAGGACCUCACUAAUUUCAUCCUUUGCACUUCUAUAUCCUCAAGAAACUUUGAGCCUGCAUACAUCUUUUCUCUUGACAAUGUAAAUGGUUUAUAAAAUUUUUUUAGCCCUGAUUACAUCCUAGAUUGCAGUUUGUUUUAGGGAGGGUUUUAUCCGUUGAGCACACGCACUGAUUAGUAAAAGCAUCGCCAGGAGAAAAAAAUGAACUUUAUGGUUCUUCCCUAAACUUUAAUUUGCUUUCUCUUCGCUAGUUAAUCUUUCCUAUGUGCAUAUACUUGCUUCGUUCUUCCAUAACGAAACAUGUAAUUGGUAAAUUGUCGAACUUGUGAACUACAAUAUCCACUAUUUUAUCAAGUCUCAUUUUUUUUUUCCAUUUUUAAUUUGAGGUAGUACAUUAAACAUGCUAACAAAAUAGAAUCUAAAUAGGAAACAAAAAUAAAAAUAAAACAAUUGGCUAUGGUGCAAUAUUAUAUAGCAAUAUAAUUGGUCUAGGUCGUGAUAUUGUAGUGUAGUUGGUUUAUAAUAUCCAAUCACUAAUGACAAACGACUAUAACAAGUACAUAGAUCUUUUUCUUUUCCAUUUUUUUAAUUGAUAUGAGAAGGAAAAUAUAUUUAUAGGAUUAUAAAUAUUAAGAGAGAGAAUAGAUCUUGCAUUGCCAACAAAGCAACAUGGCAAAAAAGUUGUAUAAUACCUUAAGAUUGCUUCAUUUGCAGUACCUUUAUUAAAGAUAUAUAAAGUUGUAUAAUACCAAUGGCUAAGAUAUUAAGUGUAAUACUCAAAUAUAACCUUGUUUAAGAGAUAAUGACGACAAAGACAGCGAUAAAUAUGCCCUAUCCAAUAAGUAACUCACCGAUAAAAUACGAUAAAACCCAACUCGCCCUCGAGUGCUGUCGGAAUAUUAUUGCAAAUACAUCCAUGAAGCCAUCGAUAGAAGACACGUACUUGCAAAUACAUCCAUGGUCCAUAUUUGAAAUUCAGCACUCAAAAUUUUUAGUGAUUAUUUUUCAGUUUUAUCUUAACGGCACGUACUCGCAGCUUAUUUUUCACAAACGAAUUUAAGUUCAGCAUUGGCAAAAAAAAAAAAAAAAAAAAACAAGUUGAGUCGAGUUGAAAGUCGAGUUAUAGUACAUAAGCUUUGACUCAAAAUUACCAGUGCAAUCGUUUACUUUAAGUAGUUAGAGUACAAUGUUGAAUAUAUUUUGUCUUAACAGUUCAUUUGGUUUAACUUCUAGCUUUUUCUUGACGAUAAAGCAAGAAUUAGGUACAUAAAUUCACAAAUCAAUAAAUAAUCCACUAAUGCAAAGGAUCACACAAGACACAGGUCCCUAGUUAUGAAACCAUUUUAUGCUUACAAACGCGAGGAACCAAACACACGUCAUGUAUCUAGUUUCCAUACACUAAUUUUUGCUUUCCUUUCUCUUGCAACUCACACAGUUGAACUUUUGUUUAACAUAAAUAACUUAAAAGAUUCAAAAUGUGUAAAUACAGUCACGUAGAUAAUUAUACAAAUCUUUUUGUAAUUAACUUAAAUUAUAUAUUAAUUUUUUAAAUGUUAAACAUUUAUUAUGUUAUACCAAAAUUAUCUUGAAAGAGGUAAUACACCAGGCCAAAGUAAGGAGCCACCUCAGUUACCGUCGAGUCCACGUCCGUGUGGCCAUGCAGCGUUGUCGUCGAGGUCCGAGGGGCGAUGGAUAUUCCUGUCUCCUUUUUCAAAAGCCGAAGUAAUCACUCCGAAAGUCCAACCCCCAUGUCGCCUCGGUUGGGAAGUACACAGGAACUCGCUCGGUCCGCGCGCCACGUGAGGUCGAGGGGCAAGUCGGAGUGGCAGAAGAUAUCCUCGAGGUCCGAGGCGGGGACCCCGCUUAGGCUUCGGUUUCAGAGCAGCUGACCGUCGUAGCGGUCAAACAAGUACGUGCCGCACUUGAAAUCUCUAGCAACGUAAUUGAACCUUGCAAUAAAAUCAAAGGAAGAACCUCGGCGCAUCACCAGCAUAGGAGACCACCAUAUUGACUUCAUUUAAAAAGAAAGAACGACGAAUCAAGCAAAAGUUAGUAUGUACAUAUCCAUCUAUGCAUCUCUUACGGGGCGCUUUUUCAUCUUUUAAUAUAGACUCGAGUUCAAAGGUAAUUUUUUGCUACAAAUUCACAUGAAAAUAGCAUAAUUACAAUCAGUAGAAUAUCACUUGAAAUGUAAAAUAUGACCAUGCACCAUCUUAUCUAAGAGCCAAGUUUGAGAAAAGACUACCAAAAACCCUAAACUUUACCAAAAGUGACAAAUUUAUCUCAAACUUUUUUUGUGACGUGAAAAACCUAAAACUUUUCAAAUUGUAACACAUUUACCCAAUCAAGGGCAUUUUUGUCUUAUUUUUUCUCUUUUUUUUUUCUUCUUCUUCCCUCUACUGGCUAUGGUGGAGGGAAGCUGGCAUCCCGGCGAGGGCUGCCCUUAUCGACGUUGGGCUAGCUCAUGCGAGGGUCGUCUCGCCCUGGGGCUUGGCUANNNNNNNNNNNNNNNNNNNNNNNNNNNNNNNNNNNNNNNNNNNNNNNNNNNNNNNNNNNNNNNNNNNNNNNNNNNNNNNNNNNNNNNNNNNNNNNNNNNNNNNNNNNNNNNNNNNNNNNNNNNNNNNNNNNNNNNNNNNNNNNNNNNNNNNNNNNNNNNNNNNNNNNNNNNNNNNNNNNNNNNNNNNNNNNNNNNNNNNNNNNNNNNNNNNNNNNNNNNNNNNNNNNNNNNNNNNNNNNNNNNNNNNNNNNNNNNNNNNNNNNNNNNNNNNNNNNNNNNNNNNNNNNNNNNNNNNNNNNNNNNNNNNNNNNNNNNNNNNNNNNNNNNNNNNNNNNNNNNNNNNNNNNNNNNNNNNNNNNNNNNNNNNNNNNNNNNNNNNNNNNNNNNNNNNNNNNNNNNNNNNNNNNNNNNNNNNNNNNNNNNNNNNNNNNNNNNNNNNNNNNNNNNNNNNNNNNNNNNNNNNNNNNNNNNNNNNNNNNNNNNNNNNNNNNNNNNNNNNNNNNNNNNNNNNNNNNNNNNNNNNNNNNNNNNNNNNNNNNNNNNNNNNNNNNNNNNNNNNNNNNNNNNNNNNNNNNNNNNNNNNNNNNNNNNNNNNNNNNNNNNNNNNNNNNNNNNNNNNNNNNNNNNNNNNNNNNNNNNNNNNNNNNNNNNNNNNNNNNNNNNNNNNNNNNNNNNNNNNNNNNNNNNNNNNNNNNNNNNNNNNNNNNNNNNNNNNNNNNNNNNNNNNNNNNNNNNNNNNNNNNNNNNNNNNNNNNNNNNNNNNNNNNNNNNNNNNNNNNNNNNNNNNNNNNNNNNNNNNNNNNNNNNNNNNNNNNNNNNNNNNNNUGGCUUCCUUUCACGGAUUCCGCCAUGGCCGGCAGGGGGAAGAGAGAAGAAAAAAAAAAAGAAAAAGAAAAGUAAAAAGACCAAAAUGCCCUUUAGUUUAUGAUAAAUGUGUCACACGACAGAAGUUUAGGAUUUUUUAUAUCACAAAAGAAAGUUUGGGAUAAAUGUGUCACGGUUGGCAAAAUUCAUGAUUUUUAAAAUCACAAAAAAAAGUUUGGGGGUAAAUCUGUCACUUUGGACAAAGUUUAGGGUUUUUCGUGAUUUUUUCCAGCCAAGUUUAAGGUCUAAGAUCAGCAUUUUGAUAUCAUUACGAUCAUCUUAUAAGCAGUAAGCAUUCAAGUAGCAUUCAAGUAGCAUUCAAGUUUAAUACAUAAACUUGAUAUUUUAUGUUUGGACAUUGCUAUUACUUUUUUUUUUUUGGUAAGGUAACAUUGCUAUUACUUUUGUCACUAUUUGACUCACAAGAAAUUUAACAUAGGGAAAUUUAACAUAGGAGUGAUAGGACCAUUAGCCCUAAUAACCAUGAUGAGACACUGCAAAUAUUCUUGUGUCAGAGUAUGAGAAACAACAUAAAAAUAAGUCCAAGAAGCCACACUUUUGACCUAUUCCAAAUCACCAGAGAAAUAUCAUAAUUAAUUAAAAGAAAUCCAGAGCUUUGUAAGCACGGUGAAGUAAAGAUCCAGCAUAAGCCUGAAAGACAAAAUUAAGUUUUUUUUGGGUACUUUCAUCCCUAUACUUUCACUUUUUUCUCUCAUUAUGUCCCCAUACCUUAAACUUUUCUAAUCAAUUUAUUUUGCUUUCACAAAUUUCCUAAUCAAGACCCAACCAACCUUAGCUUAUGUAACCGUCAAAUAAUGCCCCAGUACGAUGCGGAUAACUUAUGUGGAUGCCCACGUAGUCAUGUAUGGAAAAAUUUAUCCAAUAUAGACAAUGUCAGAACGUGACAUGGAUAAAAUUUAGUUAAGGUGUAUGCCAAAGUAUAUGUCUAUAUUGGAAAAUUUUUGUUUACGUCACACAACAAUAUCAGUUGACAGUAAUGCCAGCUGGAUUUGGUCGAGUUUUGUGUUAGAGGGAUUUGAUUGGAAAAUUUAUGAAAUUUCAAAGAACUUGUUAGUAAAAUUACGGUAGAGAAAACGUGAAAGUAGAGGAUAAGAAGAAGACUGAUUUCGAAAAACCAACAGCUAAUCCACAGUCAGCAGAAGAAUGCCUUACCUGACAAGAUAAGUAGGUCUACUUUGUACCACGUGAGCAAUGAAUGGAAUGGUUACACUACAUCCUCACAAUUCCACUGGUAUCUGGGUCCAAUCUCAAGGACAUCAAAAGCCAUGAAAAGAUCACAACUGUGAACAUCUCUCUAUGAACUUGUCUCAUCAUAUGCGUCAAGAGGGAAUAAAAUCUUUAAGCCAAACUAGUAGUUGUGAGGAAAAUAUAAUCAGCAAUUAAUGUUGACACAUAAAUUUUGACUACCCAAUUAGUUAUUUAUCGCAUAGAAAAAUUAAAAAAUCGACCUCGUCCCCUAAAAAAAAUAUUAGUUAAAUUACAUAUAGAUAUUAGGAGCAUUUUUCAUUCAUUAAUAGUAAGUCCACAUAUAAUUACAUUUUGAUUGGACUGGUGCAAGGAGAUUUUGAGCGUAAUCGAGUUAAUUGGACUAAGCCCGUGGGAAUGAGAAAUUCAGCCUAAUCCAUUUAUUUCCUUUGCUCGACCAGACAUCAAAUAUGCAGCACAAGGACUUCAGCACGAAUGAAGCAGCAAAUAUUCGUUAUUGAGAAAUAUAUUCUGAACCUUUUUUUGGGAAAAUUAACUGACUAAUUCUUUUCAUUAUUAAAGAUGCACGUCAUGCUUAAAGUAGGCAAGUUAAUUUUUCUUAGUCAAAACUGGAAGUAAUUGAACACUAUUUGAAAGGAAAGAAACAAAAAUAGAAAAAGAAAAAGGAAGAAAACGGGGAAGAAAGAAAGAAAUUCACGGCCCGAGCAUGAUAGACCAGAGAAUAAUGUAUGCACUCACAAGAGGAAAGUGGAAUUCGGCCAGCCCAAAAGGAGUUCUCGCCAAGUAUAAAGAGAUAACACUGCAACACGUAAAAGAGGAGACAAAGGAGGGAGACAAAAUGUUCGAUAAAUUCACGUUCGCAAUUAACGAGAAGUGUGAGCAAUACAUAAAAGAGAACUCAAGUUUUUUCUGUGCCUCGAAAAGCUAGCCCCUACGCAGUAAGUGUGUCUAUGUUUUGACGUUACGAUUGGGAGAAAACAUGUGCGUUCAAUGACAUUGGAGAUUGAUUUACAUGUCUCAAAGUCAUUAGUUGGAAUUAAAAGUGGACUGUAAAUGCAUGUGAAGAUAUUCGAAAAGUACACUUGUAAUAGGUGGAGACGAUAUUUGGGGCACUCAUGAAAAAAAAUGGAUUGAACGGGCCAAAAUAUUUUAGAUAUUUAUAGCAUAAGUUUUGUCAUAUUGAUGCAUUUCGUUAAACAAUUUUUUUAAUCUUGAGGAGAAGCUUCUAUUGCAUUCAUUUAUAGUUUAAGAACUAUAGAUGGACGUAAAUGAUCAACGGCACAUUUUCUAGGGUCGCAUCUUCCACAUAUUUUCAAAUUUCCACACCUUUAAAAAUAUUUUGGAAAAUGAAUGAAAAAUAGGAGGGAAGUUAGGAAUUCAACAUGAAGCGUUAAAAACUAUUAACUUAAGGAGAGAGAUAAAAGUGACUUAAGCAGAGGGUAAAGACCGGAUAAAACAUGAUAUAGCGUAGAGAAAUCUGGUUUGAGAAAAUUAUGUCGGAAGAGAUUAAUUUUCAGAGUUACUUUCCCAGACGAAUCUCUUUUGAUAAAAGUAAUUCGUCCUGCAGGCAUUUGAAUAACGAAAUCCUAUAUACCACGCUUGAUAUGAUUUUGUCAUUGACUCAUGUACAUUGGCAGCGGGAGCAUGCGACUGUCGGUCGUUAGUUUUCUUUUUCUGUUCUGUUUACUAAUAGAAAAGGCAAGCCAAAUCAAGACAAUGCUGCAGGAUCUCAAAUCUGAAUGAACGCACCUGCAUGCACCUCCCUUGUAUGAAGCUGAGAAUCGGUGGAAAUCACAGCUGGAGCACGUGAGUAUUGCUCCUUAGCUUUCUUUUCCAUUUUCUUUCGUUAAUAUAAAAGUCUAUUUACUUUCAUUAAUAUGAACGGCAAGCCGUGCGGGAUCUCGACUUUUGACCAAAGCACCGGGAGCAAGUGAGUGUUGCACGUGAUUGCAUGUGCGCACGUGAGUAUUUAUUUUGGCUCUUUCGGUUCCGCGCUCCUUCCACUAAAUGCUGCGGAAACUAUGCAUGCAAAGAUUGUUCUUUCAGCGGCAUGCCUCGCAGUGGUUCGAUUAGCACGAAGAGUCUUGGACCGUUGGAUGGCAAGAACUCAGCAUUAUGUGAUUUGCACAAAUAGCCCCGGUCAAUCUUUCUAUGCUUCAACAAUUUUUUUCUAAAUAAUUUGACAACCCAUUCAUAUAUAUAUAUAUUUCCAGAUGCAGAGAAACCCUACCUACUUAGACAAAUUUCCAUUGUAUCAUUCUAAUAAUGGAAGUUUGGUUCAUUCACUCUGAAUAUUUUUCCUUCCAUGCAAGUAAAAGUCUAAGACCUUACUAAUUUCAUCAUUGCUACUUUGAACAAACGUUUCUCUUUUCUCUGGAUAAAUUUCUUUUGCCUCGAUUAUAUCCUGGAUUCCAACUAUUUUUUUUUUUUUUAAAGGAGGGAAUUAUCCAUGGAGGACGCACACUAAUUUGUAGAGGCACCAUUAGGAGAAAAGAAUAAACUUUAUGAUGUGAAAAAAAUUACAUUUUAUAUUCUUCCCUAAAUUUUAAUUUGUUUUCUCUUUGCUAUUUAAUCUUUAUUAUAUGUAUACUUGUUUAUUUCUUCCAUAACGAAACAUAUAGCUGCUAAUCUAUCAUCCUUGUGAGACACAAUGCCCACUAUUUUAUCACGUCUCAUUUUUUUUCAUCUGUAAUUUGAGGUAGUACAUUGUUAAGAGACGAAGGAAAACGAAAGGCCCAUGUGUACUCUACUAUCGGUAGAAUAUAUUUUCCACGCCCCGAUUUUACAAUCAAGACGUGCUGCACCCCAAUUUUCAAUCAAAGCACGUUGCAUAAGUAGGAUCCACACACCUUCCGCAUAAUGCUGCAGAAAUUAAUUAUUAUCGAACAACCUUUUCUUUCAUUUUAAGUCCUUAAAAUGGUCCAUAUUUGAAAUACAGUACUCGAAAUUUCGGUAAUUAUUUUUCAGUUUUUUCUAAACGGGCUCAUACUCGCAGCUGAUUUUUCACAAAUGAAUUUAAGUUCAGCAUCAGCAAAAAGACAAGUUGAGUCAAGUGGAAAGUUGAGUUAUAGCACCCAAGGUUUGACUUGAAAUUACCUAUGUAAUCAUUUACUUUAAGCCGUUAGAGUACAGUGUUGAAUAUAAUUUACAUCAUAGCAAUUUAUUUGGUUCGACUUCUAGCUUUUUGUUAACGACGAACACAAAUCAGAUACGUAAUUCACAGGUCAACAAAUUCUCCACUAAUGCAAAGUAUCAAGCUAGACACAAGUCUCAUAUACGAAACAGUUUAUGCUUGCAAAUAUGGCGGACCAAACACACGUUGUGUACCUAGUCUCCAUCUACUAAUUUUUACUUUCUAUUCCCUUGCGACUCUCAUAGUCAAACUUUUUUUUUUUUAUAACAAAGAUCACUUAAAAGAUUCAAAAUAUGCAAAUACUAUCACGUAGAUAAUUAUAUAAUUAUAUUUUUAAUUUAACUUAAAGAAUAUACAUAUUUUAAAUCUUUCAAAUGUAAAAAAUCAAUUAUACUUUUAAGUGCAGUCUAAAUUUUUAUCGAAGGGUUGCAUACCAAAAUUAUCUUUUAUUUUGAAAGAAGUAAAGCACCUCAUUAGUCAUUAGAGAAAAAGGCCAAAGCAUGGAGCCACCUCAGCUAGCGCUGUCGGGGACCCGUCUCCUUUUUCAAAAGCCAAAAGAAAUUGCCCCGAACGUCAAACCCGCCCACUCGCCUCGGUCAGGGAGAGCACGGAAACUCGCUCGGACCGCGCGCCACGUGAGCUCGAGGGGGGCAAUUCGGUACAUUCCGAGUGGCCGAAGAUAUCCUCGAGAUGCGAGGUGGGGACCACACAUUGGCUUUGGUUUCUGAGCAGCUGACCGGCGUAGCGGUCGAGCAACGCGAACACGGAGAGGAGGAGCGGCGUGGGUCCGCGUGAAGAGACAACCUAAGCAGAAUCUUUUUUUUUGGUCGAAGCCUAAGCAGAAUCCACACGGCAAAUUUCUACUCUGUUUUCGUGGAUAAAAGGGUCUCGAACAGUUGGACGGCAAUAACUCAGCAUCGUUCGAGCAAGCGCGGGAGAGAGUGUUAAGCGUAGUUAAUCCGAGGUUGAAGGCUGAGAACCGGCAGAGUUCACAGCAGUAGGUGAAUUGUGUUGUUUGAGCACUCUUCAGGUAAUCGAUUGCUCCAUUUUCUUUUGAUGAGUUUCGAUUUGAGUUCUUGGAGACAUUUUUGCAUUCCGAGAUUUGGACUGUGAAAUCUAGACUUUUUUUCUUCAAGGCUCUGCUCGAUCGAUGUCCUAUUUGGUCAAUUAGACUUCAUUUCUGUUUGAAUUUAGCUACGAAAUGAGCUCUGACAGACAUUUCGGCAAUUCCCGAAUCCGGGAUUCCGUAUUUCUCUUUGUUUUCUGCUUUUCUUCGAGGCUCUGCUCCAUCGAUCUCUUCCAUUCCCUUUAUAGGUGAUUACAAAGGCGGAGCCUAAAAGAUUCGAUAUGUGGGGACAUUCAGAAGAUCCGAAUUGUGGGGCUUCUUCCUCAUCGACUUCACCGCAUGUAGGUGAUUAUGAAGGCAGAACCAAAAAGAUGAAAAGAAAUGACUACGAAGUGUUCUUGAGCUUUAGAGGGAAGGAUACUCGUAAUGGCUUCACCGAUUAUCUAUAUACUAGUCUUGUUGAUGCAGGAAUUCAUGUGUUCAGAGAUGACAAUGAGCUUUGUGUUGGUGAGGAGAUUGGACCGGAACUUUUCCGCAGUAUUACACAAUCUAAGAUCUCCAUCCCGAUUAUCUCAGAGGACUAUGCAUCCAGCAAAUGGUGCCUUCGCGAGUUGGCUCUUAUGUUGAAUUGCAAGAGAAACAAAGGGCAAAUGGUGUUACCCAUAUUUUACAAAGUGGAACCUUGGCAAGUGAAGCAUCUCACAGGGAGAUUUGGAGAUGCUAUCAAUACACAUAAAAAGAAUUUGGAAGAAAAGAUUGUGAAGGAAUGGGAAGAAGCACUCAAAGAAGUCACUUCCUUGAAAGGAUUGGAAUCGGAGAAAAUUGAUAAUGGGUACAUUAUUCUCCACCACAACAUUGUUUACUUUCUCAUAACUAGAUCUUACUUGAAAAAUAAUACAAAUAUUUCCAUCAUAUAUUGAAAUUUUUAUUGUUGUUCGACAGGCGUGAAGGAACAUUGGUUAAAAUAGUUGUCAGAAAAGUUAUGAGUAACUUAAAGGAAUUGUUUUUGCUAAAUGUUCCCAAACAGUUGGUGGGAAUUGAUGAUCGUGUGGAGCGUAUUAUGCACUUCAUAAAUGCUAAAUUUAGUGAUACAAGUAUUAUCGGAAUCUAUGGAAUGGGCGGCAUCGGUAAGACAACCCUUGCGAAGGUGUUGUACAACAAGCUUUUGAGUCAUUAUGAGUCUCAUAGCUUUGUGGCAGAUAUUCGAGAAAAAUUUAAGCUCAAGGGUCUUGAAUGCAUACAAAAGCAGCUCAUUUAUGACAUUAGUGGAGGCUUAUGUGAUGUGUCUAAUGUCGAUCACGGAAUCAAUAUCCUUAAAUCUCGAUGUAUAAAUAAGAAAGUUCUCAUUCUUCUUGAUGACAUGGAUGAUAAUACUCCCUUGAAUGCUUUGGUUGAAGACGGUAGUUGGUUUAAAGCUGGAAGUACGGUCAUCAUCACCACUAGAGACAAGAGUAUUCUUGACAAGGUUGGGGUAAGAUACAAGUAUCAACUCAAUGAGUUGCUUUCAUAUCAAUCAUUGGUUUUAUUUAGCAGACAUGCAUUUCGAACGGAUUCUCCUCCGAGUGAUUAUUGGGUUAUCUCUCGUGAUAUCGUAUCUACUACUGGGGGGCUUCCUUUAGCUCUUGAAGUUAUUGGUUCAUUCUUAUGUGGAAAGACAAAAGAAGCAUGGAAAGCUACAUCAAAAAAAUUAGAGAAAGUGCCUAAUAAGAAAGUGCAAGAGAAGUUGAGAAUAAGUUACGACGCAUUAGAUUUUGAGGACCAGCAGAUUUUUUUGGAUAUUGCAUGUUUUUUUGUCGGAUCAUCUAUACAAAAUCCGACUUACAUGUGGGAUGCCUGUGGUUUUUUCCCGGGAAAGGGGAUUGAAGUAUUGAAUCUUAUGUCCCUAAUUAAAAUUACUGAUGAUGGCGAGCUAAUGAUGCAUGAUCAGCUGAGAGAUCUUGGAAGGGAAAUUGUUCGUCAAGAAAAUCUAAAGAAGCCUCAAAAGCGUAGCAGAUUGUGGGAAUAUGAGGAUGGCGUAGAUGUGCUUCUCAGCAACAAGGUAAGAGUUUUUCUCCGCUUGUCUUAAUCAUCGAAUGUGAGCACAUCUUCUCUUUCUUGUUUAAGAUAAUAAUUAUAGUCAAUCACGAGUCCCCAAAACUGGCUGCGUCUACUGGCAAGAGGGCACUUUUAAUUAAUUGCUCUUCUUGUCGGACUUUAGGACAAAAUUGAAGAGCAAUUUCUUGGUUAUUAAUAACUAAUAUUUUUAACUAGUAAGAUUGUGAUGAGGAUACUCUCCUUUUGCUAGCUUCAAUAAAAAAACAAAGCUACAAAUUAAUGUUCGAUAGAGCACUUUUAAAGAAAAUCGAAUAUCUAUAAAUUGUUGGGGCCAUGCUUUCCCACAUUUUUGUUUGGUGCACAGGUUGAUGUUUGAAUUCUUAUAUUGAUUUCUUUUGAGGUAUUUUCUUUCUUUUUUCUUUUAACGAGUACCGACUUCUUAAGAGUUUGCUACGAUGAAUGAGACCAUUCAUUAGUGAUGAUUAGCUAUCCCGAUUCUUGAAUUUUUCAAGUUGGGUAAAGUAUAGAUUUAGUCCCUCAAGUAAUACUAUUUGUAAGAUUUAAUCCCCUUUCUAUUUUUUGCUCAAUACCAUUCUCCAUCUUUCACAGUUUGUGCGAUCAAGUCCUUUGUAGUCAACCGUUAAUGAACAUGGUCAAUUUGUUGAUGUGACUUUCAUAUACUAUAAAUAAUAUGGUUAUAAUUAAUAUAAAUCCUAGUUAUAAUUAGAAAUCUAACAUUAAUAGAGUGACUUGGAAAAAAAGACAUGAAUUUUGGGAAUAACUAUUACUACAAGUAAAUAUUGUAAUAGACUAUAAUAGCCAUUACGGUAAUGAAACGUGCUCUAAUAAUCUAAAUGCAUGUAAUAAUACAUUGCUACAUAAUGUGUAUGUAACUAAGGGUUAGUAAAUGUGUACAACUAAACGGUAUAUAUUAUGCGGUAAGAUAUUUAGUUCAAAGUAAGACGUUAGGAAAAAAAAAGUAGAAAUUUUCCAAUAAACGGUAUAUAUUAUGUAUUCCCAAAAAAAUAUAUAUUAAUAAAGAUAUGUUCUCAAUACCAUAAUUAUAAAAAUUUUAAUGUUGAAGUAUUAUCUAAACUAAAUUUUUUGACAUGAUACUUGUUAAACUUGGAAGUUAAAUAUUUCAACCAUACAUACAUGACCUUUUUCUUUAUAUAGAGGAUGAGUGAUGAAGUGACUUUUCAGUUACAACAUUUUUAAAUAUUUAUAGAAGAAUGAUAAUUAAUAAUAAAACUAAACAAUUUCACAACUGUAUGUUGGCACAGAAGUGAUAUUAACAUAAUAUAAUUAUUCUUCAUGUCCAAUCUAUCUCUUAGCAAGAUCUUAUUAAUUUAUGGGCAAAAUUGAUCAUAAAAUUAGAUGACUGUUAUUUCUUUGUAACAAAAUCAACAUGAAAUGAAAAGUUAGCAUCAAACAUAUAUAGUAAUAAAAAGAGAAGUGAAAAUCAUGCAUAUAACUUGUUGAGGAAACACAUGAUAAGAAAGGAAUGCAAAACAUCUGUGUACUUCUUGGGAUGGAAUUCUCAUUUUCAUUUUGCUAUCGAGAAUUGUAAACAAGGUACGAAAGAAAAAGAGGGGAAUUCUACAAUUGAGAUUCUUUAGUAUUGAUACAUGCUUUGACGGUAAAUUUGAUAUAUGCAUUUGAAGUUUUGAACUGUAAGAGACAUGUUGUUUCACAUAUAAAGGAUAUGAGUUAGUUUGUUAUUUCCCAUAUAAAGGGCAUGGAAUUUUGAAGUGAUGUUUGCAUGAAAAGAGGCCUUCUAUAUUAAUUUUGAAAGGAUGGGACUUUGGGGAAUUUAAAAGCUGCAAAUUGUGAAGGGAAUAAUUGGAAGAGGAAAAGUUUGGGAAGACCCUCUUGAGGUUCACAUUUUUACAUUGAUUACCACAACCUGUCAUGUCAUGAAGUCGAAAGUGAGAAGCUUAAAUCAUGAUAGUACGACAACAAAUUUGAAAUCAAUACAUUUUUUCUCAUAUAUAGUUGCUUUCAACCCAUUAUUCAAAACAACAAUUUACAAUGUUGCCUAAUUGCAGGGCACUAGUAAAAUUGAGGCCCUUCGUCUUGACUUAGAUAAUGGGAAAGGAAGUUACAUGGCUGAAACAUUUAAAGAAUUGACCAAAUUGAGGAUACUUCAACUGGAAGGUGUGAAUCUCACUGGACAUUUUCAGAACUUGUUUCCUCAACUAAGAUUGCUUGAGUGGAUGGAUCAUCAACCGGAUUUUGAAUUGACCAACUUUCACCUGAAGAAAUUAGUCGUGCUCGAUUUGUCGUGGAGCAAGAUUUCAGAGAACUGGGGAGGAUGGAGUCAACUAAAGGUAAAAUGUAAAGAAGGCAUAUGUCUUAUAAAUAAUCACGUGUUGUCGAUGGACCCAAUUGCACCAAGUUAUACUUAAUUUCUUCUGAAAAUAUAUAUUAUGGAUUUUCUUCUAAGCAUAAGAGGAAUUCAUAGGCACCUAAAUAUGUCAAAAGCUUCUACCCCUUAAUAUUUUAGCAAACUAGUCAUGCUUAACAUCAGACCUACUAAUAAAAACUUUUUAAAUCGUAUUAAUUAACAUCUAUCAAAAAUAUAAUUACAAUAAUGUGCCCAUGUUAAUUUUAAUCUAAAUGGUUUAUGGCUUCUAGUUAAUUUCUCCCCAUGCAAAAGUAUGUAUUUUUAGCAAUUCUUGUUAUAUGUAUGUAUGUAUCUUCUUUCAUAAAAAUGCAAAGACCCUCACAGUGACUUGUGUUUUACAUACAUACUAAAAUUCUAAAUUCAUUGUUACUUUUAAAGUAAUGGAAAUAAUUUGUGAACUACUUUGACUUGUUGCGCACAAUAAUUAUUCAUUAUUAUUGUUGAUUGUUGAAGUCACCGUAUAACACAUUUAUAAAGUACUAAUGUCAUAUGAGUAAUACAACACUUUUUUAUGUCUCGUACAUAUAGCAUUUAAAAAUUGUUUUUCAUAAUUAAAGUAGCCAUUUCUCUUUAAUUUCAUACUAAUUGAAGGAAAACAUGGCACCAAAUGAAUGCAUCUCAUUUCUUCCAUUUGACUUUGUCAUAUGUAAUUUGAUAAUAAAAUUUGUGUAUCUCUAUUCAAUAAAUAACAACAUAGUCAUAACUUUGAAAAACUAAACAUGACAUUUUCUAAGAAAUUUUAUUUGCGAAAAAUUGUAGAUAGCACUCAUACAUCCCUAACAUUCUCUUUGCAAUGAUAUGCUUAAAAACAUUUAUAUGCUAGCUUGGCGAAUACACUAUUGAAAAGAAACAUUUAAAAUUAAAUUAAAUAGCUGUGUAAAAAUAGGGAGAAUGGGAUUAUUUUUUUUGUCCAAUCUCAAAGUGGUAACCUCUUUCUUUCAGAUAGCAACCGAGCUCAAGGUUCUCAACCUUACGAAUUGUGCUUUAAGAACAACUCCCGACUUGUCCGCUUUCAAGAGUUUGGAGAUUUUGAUACUUGAAGCUUGUGAGGAUCUAGAAGAGAUUCAUCCUUCUAUCGAGGACAUCGAGACCCUUGUCUCCUUGAAUGUCAGUAAUUGUUGGGAGCUGAAGAAGCUACCACUAGGAGUAGGUAGAAUGGAAAAUUUGAGCAAGCUUCUCAUAGAUAACACUAAUAUACGAGAGAUUCCUAUUUCAAGAGGUUGUUUGACAAAGCUGGAGACUCUACAUGCCUCAGAUUGUAGACGGCUUGCUCAACUUCCAGAAUCCUGGGGCUCCCUUAUGUCAUUAACUCAACUAGACCUAAAAAGAACAGAAAUUGAGGAAUUACCCGAAUCCAUUGGAUCAUUAAAGAAGCUCAAGACUCUAAAUACCUCUUAUUGUGCAUUGUUAACUUGCCUACCCAACUCAAUAGGCGAUUUAGCAUCUCUAUGUUGCCUUGACCUAAGAAAUUGCCAAAAGCUUGCUCAACUUCCAAACUCCAUAGGCUCCCUCGUGUCUCUAUUGCAAUUGUUGUUGUCGAGAUGCUACUCGUUGAGACAAAUCCCAGGCUCGAUUGGAAAGUUGACAUCAUUGACUGAGCUGCAUUUGCAAUCUACGGCCAUUGAAGAAUUACCUAAAUCUAUUGGUUCAUUGAAGGAGCUCAAGACUCUAGAUGCCUCUUAUUGCACAUCGUUAGCCCGCAUACCCAACUCAAUAGGCAAGUCACUAUCUUUGUCUCGCCUUGACCUAACAGGAUGCCAUAAACUUGCUCAACUUCCAGACUUUAUAGGCUCCCUUGUAUCUCUACAACAGUUGUUAUUGUCGGGAUGCCACUUGUUGAGACAAAUCCCAAACUCGAUUGGAAAGUUGACAUCAUUGACAGAGCCGCAUUUGAAAUCUACGGCCAUUGAAGAAUUACCUGAAUCCAUUGGUUCUUUGAAGGAGCUCAAGACUCUAGAUGCCUCUUAUUGUGCAUCGUUAGCCCGCAUACCCAACUCAAUAGGCAAUUCAAUAUCUCUGUCUCACAUUGACCUAACAGGAUGUCAUAAACUUGCUCAACUUCCAGACUCUAUAGGCUCCCUCAUGUCUCUACAGUGGUUGUCAUUGUCAGGAUGCCACUCAUUGAGACAAAUCCCAUACUCGAUUGAAAAGUUGACAUCACUGACUGAGCUACAUUUGAAAUUUAAAGUUAUUGAAAGAUUACCUAAAUCCAUUAGUCUUUUUAAGGAGCUCAAGACUCUAGAUGGCUCUUAUCAUGCAUCGUUAGCCUAUAGACCCACUUCAAUAGGCAAUUCAACGUCUCCGUCUUGUCUUGUCCUAACAGAAUGUCAUAAGAUUGCUCAACUUCCAGACUUUAUAGGCUCCCUUGUAUCUCUACAACGGUUGUUAUUGUCAGGAUGCCACUCGUUGAGACAAAUCCCAGACUCGAUCGGAAAGUUGACAUCAUUAACUAAGCUGCAUUUGAAAUCUACGGCCAUUGAAGAAUUACCUGAAUCCAUUGGUUCUUUGAAGGAGCUCAAGACUCUAGAUGUCUCUUAUUGCAAAUUGUUAGCCUGCAUACCCAACUCAAUAGGCAAUUCAACAUCUCUGUCUCGCCUUGACCUAACGGAAUGCCAUAAACUUGCUCAACUUCCAGACUCUAUAGGCUCCCUCGUGUCUCUACAACAUUUGUUAUUGUCGGGAUGCCACUCGUUGAGACAAAUCCCAGACUCGAUCGGAAAGUUGACAUCAUUGACUGAGCUACAUUUGAAAUCUACGGCAAUUGAAGAAUUACCUGAAUCCAUUUGUUCUUUGAAGGAGCUCAGGACUCUAAAUGCUCAUUGCAAAUCGUUAGCCUGCAUACCCAAUUCAAUAGGCAAUUCAACAUCUCUGUCUCGCCUUGACCUAACAGGAUGCCAUAAACUUGCUCAACUUCCAGACUCUAUAGGCUCCCUCGUGUCUCUAAAAAUUUUGUUAUUGUUGGGAUGCCACUCAUUGAGACAAAUCCCAGACUCGAUCGGAAAGUUGACAUCAUUGAUUGUGCUAUAUUUGAAAUCUACGGCCAUUGAAGAAUUACCCGAAUCCAUUGGUUCUUUGAAGGAGCUCCAGAUUCUAGGUGCCUCUCAUUGCAAAUCAUUAGCCCGCAUACCCGAUUCAAUAGGCAAUUCAACAUCUCUUCUCGCCUUGACCUAACAGGAUGCCAUAAACUUGCUCAACUUCCAGACUCUAUAAGCUCCCUCAUGUCUCUAAAACAUUUGUUAUUGUUGGGAUGCCACUCGUUGAGACAAAUCCCAAACUCGAUCGGAAAGUUGACAUCAUUGAUUGAGCUGCAUUUGAAAUCUACGGCCAUUGAAGAAUUACCUGAAUCCAUUGGUUCUUUGAAGGAGCUCAGGACUCUAGAUGCCUCUCAUUGCAAAUCAUUAGCCCGCAUACCCAAUUCAAUAGGCAAUUUAACAUCUCUGUCUCGCCUUGACCUAACAGGAUGCCAUAAACUUGCUCAACUUUCAGACUCUAUAGGCUCCCUCGUGUCUCUACAACAUUUGUUAUUGUCAGGAUGCCACUCGUUGAGACAAAUCCCAGACUCGAUCAGAAAGUUAACAUCAUUGACUGAGCUGCAUUUGAAAUCUACGGCCAUUGAAGAAUUAUCUGAAAGCAUUGGGAAUAUGCAAAACUUAAGGAUAUUGGACAUUAGUGGAACUCCCAUAAUAGAAUUGUUUGAUGACCCAGGAAUAUUGGUAGAACUCCAAGAGUUCAGAGCUUCGGGAUGGAAAAAUCUGGAAGGGUCACUUAGUAAUAACGGCCAAUUGGUUUCACCAAACAAUCUUGGUUUAGACAAGCUUCAAAAACUAUCAGAAUUGCGCUCUCGCAUACUAGCACUCGGUAUUACCUACCAAAUCUCGCAAUCACUAAAUCUAUCCUAGCUAAACUUUCUUAAGAAACUCACUAUUUCUAAUUGAAUUGAAUGUCUUCAAACCUUUCUAUAAAACGUUGUAGAAAAGCUGUGAAUCUUGAUUUUUUAUUUUCAAAAGUUCAACCUAUUAGUUGGGCAUUCUAUUUACUUUUUUUCUUGUGAUACAGUUCUCUUAAAGCGUCCCAAGACUCCAACAAUCAACAACUCAACCAUGGAUUUUCAAAUAGCAGAUUCUAAACACGUUUCGAAGAGAUCAAGACCUUUUGAAAUCUUGGAUGAAGUACUUAUUUCAUCUUGCUUUUUCUUUAUCGUUCUUUAUUAAUUAUAGGAUGGUUUUAUCUAUAAAGAGAAGUAUCUUAUUGGGGGAUCGAUUAUCUGUUAUGUAUGGAAUGCUUUUCUCAACAUUCGUAACUAAAUCUGUCAGGCUUCUUAUGUUCAUGAAAGUAGGAAUUUUCAAUUUUCCUAAAUUAUAAACUUAAGUUCGAAUAUAUUGCCCAUUCUUAUGCGAUUCUCUUUCCUAAUUAUCUUUCUUUGCAUGCCAUUGAAUGAAACCUUUUGAAAGCACUCUCACUUUGGUGCUAUUGCGGCAUAUGAUCAUGCAUUGGGAAUCUUUAGGAGUGUAGGGGUUAUUUCACAUCGGUUGUGGAAGGAGAAGGUAGUGAGUUUAUAAGUGUAAAGGAAAGCCUCACCCUUUAAGCUAGCUUUUGGGGUGAGAUAAGCCCAAGACCACCCAAAAAUGAUAAACUUUUAGUUUUAAGGUUUCUCGAUACCCUUAACUUUCAUGAUGUGAACUUAAAGAAAUAAUUGAGGAUUGGAAGGAUUACAAGAAAGUCUGAUGGAGAGAAAAAUGAGCAAAAGGGCUAAGGUUGUCAAUUUAUAUGUUUGAUUGUCUUAAUUGUGUUUGUUAAUGUGUCAAUUCAUCAUGACUUCUAUUGGACAUGUCAAACCAUUGAAUUAGACGAGAGCAUGUAAAUAUAUCUCAACCAACUAGUUAGAUGUAUGGUGAUGUGUCAUAUUUUGGUUGUGUCUGUGUUUUUCGUGUUUGGUACUGUCAUGUAAACAGUUAGUGUUAAUAUUGGUAGCAUUAAUGAGGAGUGUGGAUUGGGAAGGUGUUGAUUGCAUCUUCUCCCAUCACACAGGCAUUGUGCUCGCGUAUGCUAGUAAAAUAGGGGCUCUCAUACAAGUUUUGCAUCUUUUGAGUGCCAUGGCUUUUAUCAAUUUUCUAAAGGACUAACUAGUUUUGUAAUCUUUAUGACGUCCUAUUAGGUGAAUAAUUUGCCGGCAAACAUUCUGCCUAUCUCAUACAACUGCCCAAGCCUCAGUCAGAGUUCUUAUUCUUCAAAUGACUUGCCCGGAAACGUAGUCAUUACCCUAAGUCAAGGUUCGCUUGUUAAGAGUAUGGAUUUCCAUCCAGUGCAACAAAUUCUACUGCUCGGUUAGCACUUCUUUCAUACUCUAUGAAUAACAUGUUCCGUGCUUUUCUUCAGUUGGAUAUACUUAUUCUCAUUGGAGGCCAUAAGUUUGUUCUUUGGUGCUUGGAAGAUUGCUUUUUGAUGUUCUUUUGACACUAGCUUCAGCUAUAUUAAACCACGGGCUAUGAUUCUUCAAAUUUUUUACUUCAAUAAUUUUCAGUGGGAACAAAUACGGGCAAUGUUAUGGUAUGGGAAGUAGGCAGCGGUGCGAGGAUUGCUUUGAAGAAAUUCAAGGUUUGGGAUUUGAGAACAUGUUCAAUGGCGUUGCAAGUAUGGAAGUUCAAUUCUAAAUAAAAUCAUGGCAUCUUGUUUUUGGACAUGUGAUUAUGGAUUUUAAUUCUUUGUAGGCUUCUCUGGCCAAUGACUAUACAACAUCCAUUAACCGUGUAAUGUGGAGUCCUGAUGGAAUCCUUUUUGGUAUGUACAUAUGUCACUUCUACUUGUAUAUCAACUUAAGAAAUUGGGCAAUACAUACUUGCAAAUUGAUGAAAAAACUAAAGCGCCAAGAACCAAACUUCAUUGCAAUAUUUUUCCAGAAGAAGUGUCCAUAUGCUGCUUUUACUGAUGAUUUGUGGUUUUCACUUUAGGUGUUGCUUAUUCCAAGCACAUGGUGCACAUAUACUCAUAUCAUGGUGGUGAUGACAUAAGGAACCACCUAGAGGUUUGUUGCUAAACAAGGAGAAAAAAAUUAAGCUUCUCUGUUCUGCUGACAAUUGCCACCUAAAUGUGAGUUCAACUUGAUUUUGACUCUAAGCUAAUGUCUGAUACAGCUCGAGGCUCAUGUUGGAAGUGUUAAUGAUCUUGCCUUUUCAUAUCCAAACGGACAAUUAUGUGUUGUGACCUGUGGAGAGGACAGGUUGAUCAAGGUAUAUUUUGAUUGUUUUCCUCAGCAUUACAUUGUUAUGUUGUUUGAUCCCUUUUAACCAAGCUAGUAGUUACAUAGGUAUGGGAUGCAGUGACUGGGGCUAAACAACAGACUUUUGAGGGUCACGAAGCACCUAUAUAUUCCAUUUGUCCAUACAACAGAGAAAAUAUUCAGGUACCUGGUUAUUUCAUGUACUAACAAGGACACGCUGCAAGCAUGGCCAAUCGACUGUAUGCUUGACCAUUCAAUGGACUUUCUUUGCUAAAACUUGGUUAGGUCAAAAAAUUUGUUUCAAUUUGUAUGAGAAGUGUGAAUAUGCAUUCUAAUGGACCUUGUUCAUUUCAAGGAUUUUGCAAGUCUUCCGACUUUUGACUUGUCUUGAUUAUAAUGUGCUUGUUACACAUGCUGACAUGGUCCAAAGAUUAAAUUGCAAAUUUGAUUAUUUCAGGCGAUGCUAUUGAGCAUGGACAACUGGGUAAAGGUUUUCGUAAUAAUGACUUCCUUCUUAAUAUAAGUUCAAAUGGAAAAUUGCUUUGCUUCCAUUAUUUGUUCUCCCUUAGUUUCUCCUCCAGUUUUGAUUGGUUAAAUUAAUAAUAGAUUGAUGUUUAUUGUGCCUGGGUGGAGCAGCAAUUGGCGAUGAUUGUGUACACUUUAUUAUGAGGAUAUUUUAUGAUAUCUAUUUGGGUUUUAGGUGGAUGUGCUCUUGGACAUGUUAUUGAAUUGAUCGUAGGAUUGUUUUAUUGUGUAGUUCAUCUUCUCAACAGCAACGGAUGGGAAAAUUAAGGCUUGGUUUUAUGACAACGUGGGCUCAAGAGUUGAUUGGGAUGCACCAGGUCACUCUUUUACCAAGAUGGCAUGCAGUGCUGAUGGAAUAAGGUUCAAACCACCAGCAUUGCAUUUCAAGCUUGAUUUUAUCCCGUGUCAUUCUUUCUGAUUGAAAUAACCUAUUUUAGCAAUUUUAUUUGGCUAUAGGUUGUUCUCAUGUGGAACCAAUAAAGAAGGAGAAGCAUACUUGUUUGAAUGGAAUGAAAGUGAAGGGGCUGUCAAGCGUACCUACCAUGGACUUGGAAAGAGAUCCGGUGGGUUUGUGCAGUUUGAUACCACCAAAAACAGAUUUCUGGCUGCUGGAGAUGAGUCCAUGGUCAAAUUUUGGGAUAUGGACAAUAACAAUAUUUUGACAAGUACUGAUGCUGACGGUGGAUUGCCGGUAAUUCAUUAUUGUUUAUUUAAUCUGACUGAAUUAGCUGAACCUUUCCAUUAAACUCGUUCUUUAAAUUUGCAGGCUUCACCUUGUAUUAGAUUUAACAAGGAAGGAGUUCUAUUAGCAGUCUCAACAAGUGACAAUAGCAUCAAAAUUUUAGCGAAUGCUGAUGGGAUUAAGUUGCUAAGGACAAUGGACAAUUGGCCUUUUGAUGCUUCUAGAAUCACUCUUGGACCUCUUAUGAAGGUAAGUUUUUUCAAGAGCACACUGACUUCAUAGAGAGGAGCUAGCUAAAUGUCUUCAAUUUUGUAUUGCCACCAACAAUUGUGAUAUUUAGUUCUGCGAUAUUUAGUUUUGGUAAUGCUACUGUUGGAGCAAACCCUGGUAAUAGAGGGGUUCAAGUGGUAGAAUUAAAAUGUUUGAUCCAAUUUCUAGAUGUGCAUUUGGUAGAGGAGUCUAGAAAAAUCCAAAAAAAAAAAAAAAUCUAGCAGGAUUAUCUAAAGUUUCGUGUAGAAAAAUCUGUAAAAAUUAUCUUUGUAGCAAGGCAGAUACUUGUCUAAAAAAUAUCUGACUCAAGCAAAGAUUUUUGCAUGUCUUAGCCGCUGAUGCAAGCCUAUAAAAAGGCUUAGGGUCGUCCAAAAGCGAACACUUUCGGGUCUCUAUUUUUUUAUUCUUAAAAACAGAUUUAAGAUGAAAAUUCGUUUAAUGAUAUAAUUUUAUUUUUAAUUUUCCGAACAAAUUUUCACUUAAUAAAUAGAUUUAGAAUAUAAAUUAUAUAUAUAUAUAUAUAUAUAUAUUUACAUUUCUAGAACAAAAACAAAAAUAAAAUCUUUUCUCUUUAUUUGCUCUCGCUACACACGACCGUCACCUGCUAACCACCUACCUCCCGUUGCUCUCCACAAAUUGAUAGUCGCCGCCUAUAAAUUAUCUUUGCUUGGUUUCUCAUUCAUGGAUUAAAAAAAAAAAAAUCUAUUUAUGAUUAGAAAUUAGUUACAGAAACAAAAUAGUCAUCGUUCGCGCCCAUAAUACACCAACUAAAAUAAACCUCUCUACCUUCGUUUGUAUGAUGCAUUGGAUAAUAAAAGCCUUCUUCUUUUUCUUUUUCUUUUUAAAUAUCCUUGUGCUCCUUGCUGCCACUUUCAGAAAUCCUUGUCCUCUUCUAUUACAUCAGCAGCAGCUGACUUGCGGAGCAUUUUUUUCCUCACAUCCAUCCAGUCAUAUUUUAACACAUCUCUGUGGAUUUUGAAUUAAAAAUAAAACUCCUUUGAUGAUCCACCGGCCAUUGACCUCGGACUAGCCGGCUGCCACCCUUGAACACCGCCGCUCCGUAGGCCGAGCUUCAAAUCUAGCUGAGUCGUCACCUCGGCGCCGCACCAGUCUAGUCCACCUUCACUUGCUUCAAGCUGAUCCAUGGCCGCCUCCGAAUCUGGUCGACCUCGACUCUACGCCAGAUAUCGUCUGCCUUAAAAACGGUUCGAGCUCGGCGACUCCUCCAUGACUGCCGAGAAGCCGCCGAGAUUUCGGUCACAACGUCGAGCUUGGCAGCCAUAGAAGGCCGCCACUCCAAAUGUAGAGGCUCAAUGGCAAUGGAGGCCGAGCGUCCAGAUCUGGCCGUGGCGAAGGUCGUGACAUGACCUCGAGCUGCAGCGAUAACCCCGUUAGAGGUCGCCUUAAGAGACGGCGUUAAAAGUUGCAGACGGCCAUGGACAGAGCAUGUAACAAGAAAGGAGACCGAAAAAAAAAAGAAAAGAAGCAAAGAAUGGUGGGGAACAAUAAGAAAAAGAAACAUCUUUUCCAACUUUUCAACAGCAUCACCGGGAUGAGCCAUGCCGACGACCAUGGACGGCCAGAUCUCGAGAGCCAACAGUGUCGCCGGCCAUGGCGGAGCAAGGUUCGUGAGUGACGCCGACGGCCAUGGACGGCCAAAUUUGGAGAGCCAGUGGCGUCACUCGUCUAGGUGACGCCGACGGCCAUGGUGGGCCAGAUCUGAAGAGUCAGCAGUGUCACCGACGCAUCAUCGGCCAUGCCAGCUUGUCCGAGGUCAGGUGGCUGGCUUUGGACGAACGAGGAAGAUGAAGCUAGAGGAAACAAUUCCACCACACAAAGAGACUCCACAUCAAUAUUUUUUAAUUUAAUUCAAGACACGUAAAUUUUUUUAAGUGGAUAUCAAGGAAAAAAUGCUCGCCCUAUCAGCUGAUGCGGCGCUUUGAAACCACCUAAUAUCUUCCCCUUUCCGCACACAUCUACACAAACUAGCAGCAAUGGUAGGGAUGGCAAGUGGUAUCAUUACUGCAUUAGGUCGUUAAAUUUUUUUAAGGAGCUUUAUUUGUUGCUUAUUUUAUUACUUAAAUAUGCGAUAAUUGCAUUUGUAUGUGCAUGUUUAUUGGACGUCUUUCAAUGACAUCCUCUCUUUUGAGCUCUACAGGACAGCGAGAGCAUGGCAGAUGAGAAGCCCAGAAUUGCCGAUGACUCGACAGACAAAUCACGAAAUUGGAAACUGACAGAAAUCAACGAACCAUCGCAAUGCCGGUCCAUAAGGCUGCCUGAUAACUCUACGGCUACGAGGGUACAAAUGACUGCCAAAAUAGGAUUUUCUUAUGUAGCAUUUCUUUUCCGCAUUUCAUGUUUGUACUAGAUAAGCACAAAUUUCAAUAGGGGUUGCAUUUAAUGCACUUGCUUUAUUAGUUAUAUUCACAUGUGGUCCAAUUAAUCAUCUCUUAAACCUCAGCACUUGGAGGACUCUGUCAUCUCUUCAUUUGGCCUUUUAUUGUUAAUUGAUUGUUUCAACUACACAAAUGGGAAAGGAUCAGAUCAACAUUAAUAAAUCUGUGAUUAUGGUGUGGCAAUUGUGCUUAAGUCAAGAUUUUACUUUUGUUUUGGUAACUGCUUCAACUAAGUUUUGAUGUCAUGUGCAUCAUAUGCUCUGUCCAUAUAUACAUACAUGUAUGAGUUAAAAGGUCAUUGAGUGUCUCUUUACAUGAAUUUCUGCAUAUAUCAUUCAGUGUGCAGUUCUUUGGCCUCUUUAUUUAUUUAUUUUAUUUUUGCAUUUUUUUUUAACUUUGGGUAUGACAUUAUACUGUCACCACUGAAACUGAUAAAACGAAGCAGGUCUCGAGAUUAAUCUAUACAAACUCAGGUGGUGCUAUUCUGGCAUUAUCAUCUAAUGCUGUACACAAGCUCUGGAAAUGGGUAAUAAGUGGUUGGAACUCAACAGCCAGGGUAAGGAGUCUUUUUUUUUUCCCUUUGAAAGUGGCAGGUUGUUUUAUUGUUUAGCGCAUUAUUGACUACAUUGAUUCUUCUUUUCGAAGGCCACAACUAGGGUAGUACCACAGUUAUGGCAACCUCCUAGUAGGAAUUUGAUGACCAAUGACACGAGAGGUAUAAAUCCUGAAGAUACAGUUUCGUGCUUUGCACUGUCAAAGAAUGAUGAUUAUCUAUUUUCAGCAUCAGGGGGGGACAUCUCUUUGUUCAAUCUGAUGACUUUUAAGGUGAAUAUUUGGAGCACUAUCCACAAGGCACGAGAUGAUGAACUACUCCUUUGUGCUGGAUAUGCAUUAGCUAUUUCCUUUUCACAUUUUUGUGGGUCCUAAUAGUAACUGAUUCUAUUAUGUACAAAAGUACUGAUCUCUAUAGUUAGGAGGUCCAUGAAAGCAACUGCUCCGACUUUCAUGUGGAUUAUUGGUUCAGAAGUGCAGCAUAUGUCCUUUUUUACUUGCCGAGUGAGACAAGGGCUUUACUCUAUCUUCAAUGGAAUCUUUUUGCUCUCACUAAUUAAAGAAAAAAGACGAGCUUUUUUCAUCCAUCCAAAGAUCUAAUGAUCGAACUUGCUAUCUCCCUUUCUUGGGAAGGGGAGAUGCCAUUGAGACAAGUGCCUCUUGGCACAUAUGUCCCACUGUUACUUAUAAAAUUACUCAAUACUCUUACCUGCUGAUAUCCAGGUGAUGACAACGAUUAUGCCCCCACCAACAAACAGUGACAUUAUUGCAAUAGGAAUGGACGAUUCCUCUAUUCAAAUUUACAGUGGUCAAGUAGAUGAGGUGAGACCUGAUUUCAUCAUCAUUGAAAGUUAACCUUAUUAGUAUUUGCAACAGAGUUAUGGAUAUUGACCGUUUCACUUUCUCAGGUCAAGAAAAAACUAAAAGGACAUCGGAGAAUAAUCAAUGGCUUUUCCUUCCCAACUUCCUUAACUGUUCUCGUGUCUUCUGGCACCGACUCUCAGGUUUCGGACUACUACUUUUUUACUAGCUAAGUGAGAAAAGGGCUUUUCUCUAUCUCCAAUGGAAUCAUUUUGCUUGUAAUGAUAAAAUUAAAGAAAGCACGAGCUUUUCUCAUCCAUCCAGAGAUCUGAUGGUUGAACUUGCUCUCUCUCUCCCUUUCCAAAGAAGGGAGAUGCCAUUGAGGCAAGUGCCUCUUGGCACAUAGGUCCCAUUGUUACUUAUAAAGUUGUUAAUACAAUGCUGCCUGCCGAUAUCCAGACAAUCACAACACUUGGGCCUCCACCCGCAGCAACAUUUAUGGCGUUCCAUCCUCAAGAUAAUAACAUCAUUGCAAUAGGAAUGGAGGACUCCUCUAUUCAAAUCUACAAUGUGGUAUUUGAUGAGGUGAGACCUGUUUUCAUUGUUGUUGAAAGUUACCUUGUUAUCUGCAAGAAAGUUAUGGAUAUUGACUGUUUCACUUUCUCAGCUCAUGGCAACACUAAGAGGGCAUCAGAAAAGAAUUACGAGCCUUGCCUUCUCUAAUGUCUUGAAUGUUCUCACGUCUUCUGGUGCUGACUCUCUGGUACCACACUACUAUUGCAUCUUACUUUCCAAGUAAACAUGCCUAAGUUUUAGGUGGAGAGCAAUGUAGUUUAUAGUGCCCCCGGAAAAGGGUUGAUGUUCACUCUCUGGAUUUAUUGAUGCUUAUGUCCUCAGCAUAGGUCAUGAAAUGAAGGCAUCCUUUACUGGCAGAAUAAAUCCUUCCAAAAAACUUCAUCUUUUGUGUUGACAAAUUAAUCCCUCCCAUUAAGUACGAAAAAAGAAGUUAUGAUGAUGUCCUGUUGUUGCUUACAACAGACCAUCGAUGUGAUUCUGAUAUGAAAACACAAUGGACAAUUUUAUUCAUUCAUUUCUGCAUCAAUGCCAAUAUCCCUUUUGAUGAUUGACUAUUAUCACUGCAGUUGUGUGUUUGGAGCACUGAUGGAUGGGAGAAGCAGGCUAGUAAGUUUCUGCAGAUGCCAAAUGGACGAGGAGUGGCUCCUUUUGCUGAUACUCGUGUUCAAUUUCACCUGGAUCAAGUACAUUUGCUGGUGGUUCAUCAAACACAGAUCGCCACAUGUGAAGUUCCUAAACUAGAACUCCUCAAGCAGGUAUUGAAGAUUUUUUUUUGUUGUGCACGAACCAAUCUGUCAUCUCAUCAUGAUUGCAUAAAAAUUAGAGAAUCGUUAGGUAGUAUGAGUUGCUUUGUGCCGAAUGUACUUUUUUUUUAUUUGUUGCUCAUCUCAACUAGUGGGAUACUCGAGAAGCUAGCGCUCCAAUUACAGAUGCUACAUAUUCAUGCAAUGGUGAAUCAAUAUACGUGAGCUUUGAAGAUGGAAGCAUCGGUGUUUUUACUGCUUCUACACUCAGAUUGAGAUGUCGUAUAAAUCCUGCCACUUAUAUCCCUCCAAACCCCAGGUAAGUUGGUUAUUUGCAACUCAGUUAACCUCAUUCCUUUAUGAAAUUGGCAAGUCUCAUUCGCAAAGUUUCAAUAGUCUCGCAAGUAAUUCAUUCCUCAUAAUGCAUUUGGCAGCUUUAGAGUCUACCCACUAGUCAUUGCAGCACAUCCAUCUGAACCUAACCAGUUUGCACUAGGGCUUACUGACGGUAGCGUCUAUGUACUUGAGCCAUUGGAAUAUGAAGGAGAGUGGGGUACUUUUGGGCCUAGCACGACCUUUGGUGCAACCGGUUCAGAUCAACACCAAAGGUAAUACAGGCCAUGUCUCUCCCUGUGAAACUUUUGAGCAUUAAAAUGCUGAGCCGGCUUUCCUCCACCGCACUUGAUUCAAGUUUUGAGGGAGAUGCUGCAGAGGGUAGAUUAUACAGCCUCAGGGUACUUCUACGGGACAUGGUUCAAUACAAUGUCCUAAUCGACUUCUGCUCAAGUCUUGUGGUGAUAAUUUGUUUUGUUGUAUUCAUAUAGGCUGAAUGAAAGUGGAAAAAGAAAAACAUAAGAUUAGAGUGUUGCUUUGAAGGUGUUAUAUAUUCAAAGUAGAGGUAGAGAGCAUACCUCAUUUUCUACGCAAUCAGUAAGGAUUUGAUUAUACUAGUUAACCAAUUAAUACAAUUUCGAUAUCUAAACUUAAUUAAUUUGUUAACUAAGUGUCCACAUAGUUUUUGACUAUUUAAUUAACUUGUGCCAUUAAAUAAUGUCCAUGCAUGAGUACACGAUCAAUGAAAAGUAAACAAUCACAAUCACUAGAUAGAAGUAAAGUAUAAGAAAGUAGAUCCAUUGGAGUGUCAACCGUAGAAUACACAUGGCUUUGUAUUAAGCCUCGGGCAACAACCCACGCUAAAUUCAACUUGUGUCCGAUUCAUUUUCUCAUAAACUACUCUACCUAAAUCUAACUAAAUUAAAGUUCUUAUUAAAAUCCCCUUCAACCUAUAUGUAUACUAACUAAAAGAAACUAAGCUAAAUCUAGCAUUAAACCUUAACGACCUAAUCAAGGUCUCUGUUUCUAACCAUUUUCCAAUUUUUCAUUUUUUCGAUUUUUUUUUAAUAAAACUUAAUUCUUAUCAUUUUCUGAAAAUAGGGACUCGAGCCGGGUCAGGAUAUUCGGCCCCCUCCAAUUCUAAUUCUACUGAGCCCAACCCAUUGCCAUGAUAACUGCUCCAGCCCAUCUUUUCUUCUAACUUCAGCAAGUGCAUCUUUAAGCCCGAUUUCUAUUAUAGAUAGAUUAAAGCCCACUCUAACCCCAUAUUAUUAUUAUUUUUAAAUCAACUUUCCUCUUUUCUUACAUCUAUAUAACAAGAAUACAAGAAAAAUUUAUGUUAUAACAACGAAUUUUAGUAAGAAUUGAAUCUGAAUGUUAAUGGACUUAGUUGUAACAAGCAAUGUAUGCUACAAUUUCUUCAAAUUGACCUAGAUCAGGAAUUAUUUCACUAAUGUAUCUUAGAGACAUUUCAUGAAAUAGUCUACGUGCACCAAAGGAAUUGAAUCUGGUCAUAAAUCGAAGUUUUGUUUUCAUCUUAAAUAAAUGCCAGAACCACGAAGCCAUUACAAAUCAUCAAAUUAUAGCCUAGAUCAUCGGUGAUUUUCACACGAGUAACCUGAACGUGGUCCAGUCAUGCAUCUUUCCAAAACUGGGCAGGAAAGAGGGGAAAGAAAUCCAGGAGUUCUCGGUUGAGAACUAAGGACUAAUGAACAAACUACGGGCUAGACAUGGUCUGGCUUCUGGGCAUUUAUGCGUCCGACUAAUACAAGUUGGGCUUAAUAGAGGUGGAUGGGCCAUGGCCCAUGGGCUUGGCUUAGACGAAUUGGAUCGAGCCCAUCGCAUGAAUGAUAUCCUUUCCAAUUAGUUGAUGAAUUGAAUAAGUCCCUUCAGUCAUUAUUUUUUGCAUUCUUCAUUUCGGUUUUAUUUAUUCAUAUCUUAACCGCCUAGAUUGCCGAUUUUCCUUAAAUUGUUGAUUAAAAAUCAAGUAUCCACAGCAGGUCCAAAACCUCAAAAUUGGCUGAAGCAAUUUCCUAAAAGUUGUUGUAAUCUUGAAGGUGCUACAAUUGAGAAAUGUUGACAAACCCUCUACAAAAGCUGCAAUGCCCAUUCUUCUUAGUCCAAGUAACUCCUAACAUUAAUUAUUUAUACUCUUUUCAAAAUAAUUCAUAUAUUUUUAGAGAGUCUUAAUAUGAAUGAGUUAUUUAGCAAUUUCUAUAAGAGUAGAAUUGUUAAUUCAAAACAUUCAAGCAAAGAAUUAUAAAAGGAGAUUGCCAAUAGCAUUGGGAGGCAAUUUGGUAAAAGAAGCAUUUAUAAGAGUUAUAACAAGUCGGAAUUCAACAAAAUGUCAAUCGAAGUGCUUAAUCAUGAAAAAGAAGAAGCAAUACCAAUAUCAAAAACCAAAGAGCUGUUAGCAGAAUCAAAAUUUCCUUUUCAUCUCCUGUUGGUGUAUAAACUUGUUAUUUAGUUCCGAAAAGAAUUAAAUAUAAAUGUAUGUAUAUUUUGUCACAUAGUUUAAGUAUUACUUUCAAGAAUGCUUUGAUUUGAUAGGUGGAACCAUAACAACUAAACUGGGAAAGGUCUUUCUUUAAUUUUCAUCGUUUGGCCGUGUGAUAUUUACAAUGUUAAUAAGUUCCUGAUAUUGAGAAGUGCUGUUGACAGUAGUUUUCCCUCAUCCUUACAAUGAAUGUCGAUACAGUGAAUAAUUAACCACAUUCAAGCCAUUCUCGUCUACUUGUCAAGCAUCUGCAAACAAAGUGAAACCUGCUUAUUUCCGUCUUCGACUGGGCUUCUUACUCUUUCUGGCUGAGGUUGACUGCUCCAAAGGCACUGGUAAUAGGGUUCCUCCCUUGACGCCAUCUUCAUCAUUCAUCUUAUCGAGAGUUUUCUGGGCUCCGAUAUACACCUUAAGGUCUCUAAUCUGUGAAGGAUGACAAGGGACAUACUACUGUCAACCCACUAUGCACGUGCAGAGUUUUCACUCUAUCAUAUCAAAACCCUACAAAUUAUUACCAUUUUAAGGCUAAAAGAAUAUACCUGUUCUUCUAAGUCAAGUAUUUGUUCAUCCUUCGACUUCAGUGACAGAGUUUUCCUGCAGAUGCACAGAAGCUUAUGUGUCCUUCAUUCAUGUCAAAUUAGAAGGGAAGAAUAAAUUCCCGACAGCUUUAACUGACUGGACUCAUCUACUGAAAAAGUUUCCGUACAAUCGAUAAUAAUGCUUAUUGAGGAAACUAGCCCACAUAACUUCAAUGAGGAUGGACAAGACCAGUAUACUUCAUAAGGCUGUAUGAAUCUCUCUACAAAGAAAAUGUUGUAGGCAUAUUACGGCACUUAAAAAGCAUCUACACCUACAUUGCUUGACAUGCGAAGCUCAAAUAAGCUUUAAGCCUGCCCAGUGUAUCUUCUUUUCCUUUUAUUUCUAUUUUGUGGAAGUUGGAAAUGUCAACAUAAUGCAGUAUAACAACCAUUUGAAUUUCAAUUGGAAUUAGUAAAAUUUCAAUGUUGAACUGUAUCAAUUAAAAUUUGAGUCCCGAACCAUCACAGAAUAAUGUUCAAAUUUCUUUAGUGUGUGAAAAUGUACUUUGAAAUUGAACCACCACCAUGAAGAUUUUAACAUUGAUUUCUGUCAAUAAAGUUCAACCUCUAAAGCAGUAGCGCUAGAACUUCAGAGGAAAACAAAAUUAGAGAUGGAGCAUACAUAAACAAAGGAACAAAAUUAUGGAGAGCACUGACUAAUGGAACUUUCUCCAUACGUGGUGCAUACUCUCCUUUCCCCUUUUCCCCUUUUUUGUCUCUUUCUCUUAUUAGAGUUUGUUCGAUCUCGCCACUUUUUUAGAAGAACUUCAAUAAAAAAUACCAAAAGCUACUUCAUCUUCUAGCCACAUCCUCCAAUUAAUGAUUAACUUAAAACUUAAUUAUCCUUCCCAAGUAUGGUGAAAGGAAAAUAUAUUAACUAUUUGAUAAAUUCUUACUCAGCAUAAAAUGACUUUUGUUCUUUUGCCAUUAAUUAUGUGUUACAAGUCACUUAUAGUCACUAUCACAUAGUUGAAUUAAAAGCUGUAUUUCCUCUUCCUUCUUCCAACUUUCACCUUUUUUACCUCACCUCUAAAAGUCCAUUCAAUGCGAACACUUCCUCUUAAUGAUACCAUUCUCACUUUUUUCUCAUCUUGUUGAAUGUCCGUUUCCACUUUCUCUCUCAUGACCAACCUCCCUUACAUGAACCAUGACUACAAUGCUGUUUCAUUUUACUAAUUAGGUUUUAUGAGACUAUGGAUGCUAUGGGAUUAUUUAUCUAGAGAAAUCAGCAAGGAAAAAUACCUCUCUUCAAUUUCCUUAACCUUUCUCCGCAUCAUAUCUUGGUUCUUGAUGAGAGUUUGAUUAAGCUGCAACCACAAGAAGCGACAUCUGUUACUGUUAUGUCCAAGAUUGUAAUAUUUAAAAUGAGGCAUGUGAAAAAUGAGCAAAACAACAAUCAGCCAUGGCUUCAGGUAGCCCUCCUCUCAAGCUUUAAACAUCCAAAAUCGCACAAGGCAAAACAGAGAAGACUAAACCCUUACCUCUGNNNNNNNNNNNNNNNNNNNNNNNNNNNNNNNNNNNNNNNNNNNNNNNNNNNNNNNNNNNNNNNNNNNNNNNNNNNNNNNNNNNNNNNNNNNNNNNNNNNNNNNNNNNNNNNNNNNNNNNNNNNNNNNNNNNNNNNNNNNNNNNNNNNNNNNNNNNNNNNNNNNNNNNNNNNNNNNNNNNNNNNNNNNNNNNNNNNNNNNUCUUUAAAGUCAGUCUAAGGAUGAUGGCCAUCUAUGUAACAAAAAAUGACAAACAUGGGUUAGAAAUGAAACACUAUCACCAACUGUAGCAUGGGCAGUUGAUAUAAAAACUAAUGGCUUUUGUAAUUCUACUUCGGAUACAGUAACAAGUUUUCAAUUCUGAUACUGUUCCUCCUAAGGCUCUCCAUCACAACAAGUCAAUAAAAAAAGAGUCCUGGAACCUUAGGGAAACUCAAUUCAUUUUCUUCUACAGAUAUAUUAAUGAGAAAAAAGAAAAGAAAAGAAGAAUAGUAGAAGUUUUGCAAUUCUCUGAAGCUGAUGCAAGCCCACUAAUUCUUUUAUACUUCCUAUAUAAGCUCAUCAGACACAUGCAGUAUGCAAAUUGACAGGUAUAAAAUGUUGUAUACCAUAUAAAAGCAAAUGAAGCUGAGAUUAUACAACACGAGCAUAAUUACUUUCCUUCUCUUCACAACAAUUCUGACAAUCCCAUAAAGUUCCAAGAGUUAAAUGAAUUCACUUAAAAAAAAACAAAAAAGAAAAACAAAAUGGAGAAACAUUUUUUAAUCUGAAAUAACUAAACAAAUGAUCUAUUAUGGUUUUCUCCUAAAAUGUGUACUUAAAAACCAUUACCUAAAGCAAAAACAUAAUUGAGGGAAGCCUUCACAAGUAAUGCUUAUAACCAUGGCUGAUCAGUCAAAAAAAUAAAAUGUAAAAGACUAUGUUAAGCAGGGAGAAUUGAAAUGGUCUACGUAUAUGCAUGCUUACUUUUCUUUGCGCUUCCAGCUGAGUUGAAGCUAGAUGAAUAUAGUCGGCGUGAAUCUACAAAAAAGUAAAGCUACAGUGUCAGAGUAAACAGAGAAAAUCUGAUAGUUACAAUGGAGGUAAUAUACAUUUUGCAGGCCCAAUAAUGAACAUGUGACAUUUGGCCAACAAAAUGAAUAUGUGAAGCACAAAACCAGAAACAGAAUCUUUCAUUAUCAUCUGUCAGUGCCUAUAACAGUAAAAGCAUCAUGCACUCAAAACUUCAAACAUCUCACUUAACUGAGUCCAAACUCCAAAUCUUUGCAGGGAAAAGAGAACCAGAAAACAAAGAUACUCACAGCACACAAAUAAGAGGACACAUGAACUUACUGCUUCAAUUUUGCUGCUGAAGAGCGCCCCACUAAUUUCAGAAUCCUCGCUACAGCCACAGCUACCACAAUCUCCUUCAAGUGAUUCACAGUAUGAAUUCAUCUCCAAAAGCUUGCCGUCAGCUUUUGAUUGAUUAAGCCGGUGAACGUAAGUGUCCCCAACAUAAUCCCAAAUUUGCUGUGUUCUUAAAUCUAGAGAAUAGCAAUGUUGCGUAUUUUUCCAAUGGCUGAUUGCGUGCUUAUCUUUGUAUCUACAAAGCCAGAAAAGAAAAGCUAUAAUGAAGACAGCCUAUCCAAUCACUAAACAUAUAGAGUGAGCGAAAAUUCCAGCACAUCAUGACUGGAUCUAUCACCUUCCACAUCCAACAAAACCACAUAUCAGACAAACCCAAAGAUUUUCCAUUGUUCCACAAAUAAAGCAGGAUGGCACCUCAUCUUGCUGUUGGCAUAGUCGGCAAACCUGAUAAAGGACAGAAACAGAUCUUCUUCACAAUCAGUUAACAGAGGGGCAUCCCUGAUGAUGUUGCAAAAUGAAACUACAUUUCCGAUAAAGGUAAUUUCUUGCAAUCAAAACAAGAUAUAUGCCCUAAUUGACAUCUUUAGCAAUGUAAUUGGACCUUGCAAUAAAAUCAAAGUAAGACCCUUGGGACAUCACCAGCAUGGGGGAACAUCAUGUUGACUUAUUUUAACCAUAAAGAUUGACGAAUCAAGCAAAAGUCGGUAUGCACAUGUCCAUUGAUAUAUCUCCUAUAUGGCACUUUUUCACCUUUUGAUAUUACAUGAGUUCAAAGGUACUUUUUUGCUACAAAUUCACAUGGACAGAGCAUACUAGAACAUCACUUGAAAUGUAAAAUAUGACAAUGUAACAUCUUAGUUUCAAGACAGGAUAUGUUUGAGGUCAAAGAUCAGAAUUUUGACAUCAGUAUGAUCACCCUGUACUUGUGAGUACACACAUAACUUAUUGUGUAUGCUUGGCCACUGCUAUUACUUCUGUCACUCUUUGACUCACAAGAAAUUUGAUACAGGAGUGACAGACCAUCAGAUCAAAUACACGUGAUGAGACAUUGAAAAGAUUCUUGUGUCAGAAUAUGAUAAUCAACAAAAAAUAACUCCAAGAAGCCACAGCAUUCACCUAUUCCAAAUCUCCAAAUAAAUGUCAUGAUAAUUUAAAAGAAAUCCUGAACUUAGGAAGCACAAUAAAGUAAAGGAAAAUUCUACUGUUCAUUCAUAUACUCUUCAUGCUAUUUCUAAUGAUGUCUCCAUACUUUUAAUUUGCCUAAUCAAGUCCUUCUAUUUUAACAAACUUUCCAAUCAAGUCUUUCCGACACUAAAUAUGACCAAAUUUAACUGAAGUGGCUGUUCGACGAUGACGACAUAUGAUGCCGAUAAAAUAUGCAGAUGCCCACAUGGACAUGUCUGGAAAAAUUUAGCCAAUGUAGACGACCUCAAAGUGCAACAUGGAUAAAACAAUGGACAUCCACGUCCCACAACAGAGACAUCUGAUGGUCACACCAGCUGAAUUUGGCCUGAUUUGGUUUGAUUAGAAAAUUUGUAAAAGUAGAAAGACUUUAUUUAACAAAUUAAAAGUACAAGGGACUUGAUUAGAAAAAACGUGAAAGUUCAGGAUAAAAACAAUACUGCCGCAAUUGCUAUAGCUAAUAUUAAUUAUCAAAAAGCAACAACUAAUCCACAGUCAGCAGAUCAACAGAAAGAUAGUGGCAGUAGCUGCGAAAUUACAGUCUAAAUUCAUCUAAUCUGUAUCAGCAGAAGAAUGCCUAACCUGACAAGACUAGUAAGUCCAUUUUGUACCACACGAGCAAUGAAAGGAAUGGUCACAAUUUGUACUCAAAAUUCCGCUGGUAUCUGGGUCCAAUCUCUCUGACAUUAGAAAAAAAAAAAGAAUUAGCAACUGUGAACAACUUUCUAGAAAUUCAUCUCACUGCAAGGGAAAUAUAAUCAGCAAGGGGGCACUAGCAUGGCUUACCACCCACAAACUGGACAAGAGGAUAGCUCUGUAAAGCCCGACGGGGGCGUGCUAGCUACAUCAGCUGAUUCCGUAUAGUCCACUUCGUGCAGAAAUAGAAUAUGGCAUACCUCAGCCUGAAUGUCCAGAAGACGAGUAUUAAAAGUGAAACAGAAAUUGACUAUGACAGGUGCAAAAAUUGCAAAUACCUCAGCAGGCGAGAAAUUCUUGCCAUUGAAGGUGCAAUAGAAACCAUCAGCAGCCUUUUGAUCGGUAAGCUCGAUCAGCACACUGUACCUAUCUUCCAUCCCAUCAUUCCUACAUCAAACGCACAAUUCGCAAUACAACGAUCACUAAAACCAUUAAAAAGCAUUUAAAAAAGAACCCAGAUCGGAAAACCCAGUUCCACCGUCGGAAUGCUUCCAAAAAAUUGAACUUUCAUCAUCGGACACCCCCUAAGGCAUGAUCAUGAGCAAAUUUUUGAGUUUCGAGUCCAUCUUUUAGAUUUUUCGUCAGCGAAUUCUAAUUCCUCGAAGUCUCUCUUUCGCUUGCCCAAUUCAUCUCACCAACUGAAAAAACCGGUCCGAAGUCCCGAAGAAGAGGAGGGCAGAAAACAGAAAUGAUCGAAGCAUUACCUGAUGAACGGGAGCUCGGAGAAGUCGUCGAUCCGGGGGCCGCAGAACCGGAUGAAGUCGUCGGGGGAGAAGUAAUUGGGGACGGCGACGACGAAGAGGGUGGUGGAGCGGGCGCCGGGGCUCGAGAGGGGCGCGCGCAACAGCGUCCGGAACAGGUGCACCAUGCCCCUCCGCUCGGUGAACCUGGGAUCCCCGGCGGCGGCGGCGGCGGCAGCGGCGAGGAGGAGGAGAAGCCGCCGUAGUCGGUGGCGAGGGGGUGGUCGGUGUCCACCGAGUGGCGCCCGGAAGAAGAACAUUUUUAUUCAUUUCGGGUGUUCGAAAUAUUAAAAUAAAAUAAAAACUAAAUUUGAAAUUGAUAAUACGUAAAUUGUCAUCCGAUUUCAUUGAUAUCAAAUUACUUUUUGAUUGAGCAAGUCGAGAAUCAUGUGAAUUAUGGUAAGAAGUAUGUUAUGUGAUUGCUUAUGAACCACAUAAUUUUGUAAUCAUCUCAUUCUCAUUUAUUAUUAAAAUGAUCAUGCAUCCGGAUUAAUAUUUGUAAUGAAUUUUAUAAACAUUGAAAAAGUAAAAAAUGAAAAAGGCCUAAAUUGGCCUAGUCGUGUAUUCUAUUUCUUUUGCUUCAUCUGACAAACAAAACAUGACUAAACAAGCUAGAUUACUCCUAGAUAUUCUAAAAUUGAAAUGCAAGAGCAGCCGAGUGUCUAUUCGACAUAAAAAUUGCUAUUAUAGGUUAUUAUUAUGCAAAACUAGUUUGGACCAACAUCAGGACUAAUGUAUUGCUCAAGUUCACUCAUAAAAUGAAUCAUAUAUAGAAAUGUUGGGACACGGCUCAGGUGAAGGUCGGGCAAGCUAGGAUUUUUUACUGUAAGGAUAUAUUAUAGUCCCGGGGUCAUGUCUCUCAUUGUGAUGUUGCAGAGGGUAGAUUUUAUAGUCGCGGGGUCUUUCUCCUGACAUACUUUAGCACGAUUUGUCUUAAAGUGGUACAAUUAACAUCCUCAUCGACUUGUAGAUUUUAUAGCCUCGGGGUCUUCCUCUGGACAUAGUUUGGCACAGUCUGUUUUAAGUGGUACAAUUAGCAUCCUAAUCGACUUCUGCUCAAGUCUAGUGGUGAUAAUUUGUUUUAUUAUAUUCAUUUAGGCCGACUGAGAGUGAAAAAGAAGACUAACCAAAAAAAAAAAGUGAAAAGGAAGAACAUGAAUUGGAUACAGAUUUAUCUGAUUUUAGUUAGCAAGCUAAAGGAUCAUAGGAACAGGGUUUAGUUUUCGCAGGUGGCUUCUUCUCUUGUUCCUUUUGCGUCGUGCUGAAAGUACUUUUCUUAUGUAUUUUAUUUAUUCUUUUUAAUUUGCUGAAGUAGCAUUUGUAAGCACUUAGCAGGUUCUCUUUUCUUAUUCUUUCGCCACCAAAAAACAAAAUCAUCUUCUUCCUCUGUUCCUAUUAUGAACGUGAUUUGAGUGCAACAGCACUCAGACCUUGGAUGAAUGUAAAUACUUCGCCAUGGUCUAUCUCGACAUUUUGCUUACUGGACCGCAAUCUUUGGGAAUCAAGUUCCAUCUUUUUGAGGAUGAUAAUCUUUAACUGCAGUCGGUUAAACACUGUAUCCUUGGGGACACAAGUCGGUUAUUUCUCCGGCUUUUACAGUUAACAGAGUUGAUUUUUUCAUUUGCAAAUGGACACAGAGCAGGUAGGAGCAUGACGACGAGCCUCUUUUGAUCUCAUCUAUAUUCCUAUCACCCUUCCCUUACUACGCUAACACCCACCAAAGACUACUUUCUCUCAGCACAUGAGCCUCUAUUGUCAUCGCAAAGUGCUUGCACUUCAAACAAAUGCAGAAGUAAGAUGUGCAAUCUAAGAGUGUCUGAUUUGAUUCGCAUACAGCAGGUUCAACCCUCGGCAAGUUUGGAUGUUGCAUCUUAAAAGGCACAUUCUUCUAAACGGCUGAAUUUGCAGAAUCAAUAGCAAAGUGAACCUAGUGGGCACGUUUUCUCCAGACAUUUCCACAAAAUUUGGAAUUUGUUCCCCUUACAAAUAGGAACGAUACUGGGUUUUCCUCUUUACCAAAAAAAAAGAAAAAAAACGAUACUGGGUUUUCCCCCUUAUGAGAAGAUGUUCUUGACCUGGGAGUUUGGAAGGGAGUAAGUGCCACUUAAAAGCUGUUGUAGUUUUGGAGAUGGUAUCAAACGACCUCUCAAAAAAGUAAUCUCUGUACGCCAAACAUUAAUUAUUUUGUCCUUUUACAAAAUCAUUCAUAUAUUUUUAGACAGUCGUUGAAUAAGUUGGGAGGCAAGUUGGCAGAGCGAGCUUUUUUGUGAGGUGUAAUAAGUCAGAGUUUGACAUUAUAUGGAUCAAAGUCUUUAAUCACGAAUAAAGAAAUGGCAAUACCACAAUCACAAAACUGAGGGCAGUUGGUAUAAUGGAAAUUUCAUUUAAAACUACUGUUGGUAUAUAAACUUUUUUUUUUUGGUUCCAAAGACAAAAAUUAUAAAUAUAUUACCAUAGUAGAACAACAUAUAGAAAAACUGAAGUUGAGAGCUAGACUUUUUAAAUUUUGGGGAAAAAAAGUUUCUACAAUAAGUUUUUAGGUACUACUUUCAAGAAUGCUUUGAUUUGAUUUGCGGAACUGUAACAAUUAAACUGAGAAUGGUCUUUCUUUAAUUUUCAGCGUCUGGCCGAGUAUAUGCAUUUACAAUGUCAAUAAGUGCCGGACACCGAAACUCAAUUGAAGAGGAGGACUGGGGAAAGUCAAGGAGUUGCACCAUCCACAACCCCUCCAAGUAUAGAGGUUCUGCAGAACGCUGGGCAGUGAAAUACCACCCUCGGGCCCCCCUUGCGUCCGCAGAUGCUGCUAACAGUACUUUUCCUUCCUACUUACGACGAAUGUCAAUAAAAUGAAAAAACAAUUAACUACAUUCAUGCCAUUCUUGUUUACUUAUCAAGCAUAUGCACACGAAGUGACACCUGCUUAUUUCCGUCUUCGGCUGGGCUUCGUGCUCUUUCUGGUUGGAAAUGAUUACUCCAAACGCACGGGUAAUAGGGUCCUCCUUUGACGCCAUCUUUAUCAGUCAUCUUACUGAAUGUUUUCUGGUAUCCAAUAAACACCUUAAAUUCUUUGAUCCGUUAAAGAUGACAAGGAACAUAUUGCUGUCAACACACGUUACAUACACAUUGCGGUUGCAAUAUUAUGAAAACCAUAUGAAGGAAUAAAGUUUUGAGGUUCAGAAAAUGUACCUAUUAAUCCACAUUCAUUAUCUUUUCAUUCUUCGACUUUAAUGACAGAAUUAUCCUGCACGUGCGAAGAAACCGUAUGUGUGCUUCAUUCAUGUCAAAUCAGAUGGGAGGACUAAGUUCUCCAGACAGCUUUAAAUUGACUAAACUCGUCUAGAAGUUGCAUCAUGUACAAUCGAUAACUAUGCUUAUCUAGGAAGAUUAGCCCACAUAACUCGAAUGAAGAUGAACAAGAUGAGUAUACUUUAAAAUGCUACAUAAUUAUUCUCUAUGUUGUAUGCAUAUUUUUUUUUUGGUCAGUCAUGUUGUAUGCAUAUUAAGGAACUCAAAAGGCUUCUAAACCCACAUUGCUCAAUCUAUGAAGCUCGAAUAAGGGUUAUGUCGACCAAGAGCAUAUUCUUUUCCUUUUAUUUUCUAUGUUCUCGAAGUUGGAAAUUUCAACACUACGCAUCAUGAACAACCAAUGAAUUGUUAUUGGAAUUAGUAAAUUUUUAAUGUUGCAAUUAAAUUUUAGUCCCAAACCAUCACAGAAUUAUUUGCAAAUUUUUCUAGUGUGCAAAAUUGUACUUUGAACUCGAACAAUGACCGUGGAGUUUUAAACAUUAACUUUAUGCCGAUAAAGUUAAACCUCUAAGGCAAUAGCACUAAAACAUCAAAAGGGAAACAAAAUCACAGAUGAAACAUACAUUAACAAAGGAACCAAAUAAGAGAGAGGUCGUCCCGUCUCGCCACUUCUUUGAAACUUCUUCAAAAAAAUUCCCAAUAACUACCUACUUCAUCUUCUUGCCACGUCCUCUAACCAAUAUUAACUCAAACUUGGUCAUUUCCCUCCAAAGUAUGGUGAAAAGAAGGCAUAUUAUCUAUUCGAUAAAUUCUCACACGACAUAAAAUGACUUAAGCAGGCAUAUUAUCUAUUCGAUAAAUUCUCACAUGACAUAAAAUGACCUUUCCUUGUGCCUUUAAUGAUGUGUCAUAAGUCAUUUAUAAUCACAAUUCAGAUAUUUGCAUUGGGUGUUGUAGUUUCUCUAUCCUCUUCCAACUACUUUCACCCUUUUUACCUCAAUUUGUGACACCAUCUAAAGGUUUAAACUAUGUGAACUCUUCCUCUUCACAUUACCAUCCUUACUUCUUUUUUUUAUCUUCUCAAAUGUUAUUCCGACCUUCCCUCUCAUGACCGACCGACCUAACUUAAAUGAAUUAUGACCGGCAUUGACUUGGGCCGUUAGGUCCAGCAUGAUAGAACUCAGGCGGGCCGACCCUAACCCGAAUCUCUCUUCAACUGAAAUUCACAUGCCACAUGGCACGCUUCCAUUAGUUAAAAUCCUCGCUGUCUACAAUAGAACAUAUGACGCCCAAUGGUCUAGUCAAUUUUCGUGAUAACUGUGUGGGGAGCACAAAACUCUAGUUUAAAAAAAAAAAAAACAAAACAAAACAAAGCUAUUCUACCACCUCCUAAUCAUUACAUGUUCCCGUCUGCUCAAAAAAAAAAAAAAAAAAAAUCAUUACAUGUUCCCACUCCUUCGCUGGUCGCGCCGUCGACCAUCAAUCUCAGGAGGAUCACGUUUGUUCAUUUCAUCGAGAGCACCAUUCCAGAACUAUUUUAAAUUAAAAAAAAAAUGGAGCAAGGAAAAUUCAUCUCGAAAAGGCGAUUCCGUUCGAUUCAGUUGGCGAUUUCAAGCGUUCUGAAUUGAUACCAGUGGCGGUCGCCCGCGUCAACAGCCUCUUCAAUGCCGCGACUCAUCUCCUUCGUUUCCCUUCCGCGGCCGAGAGCUUCGAAAUGUUGUCGUUCCGCUCGAAGCUUCUCCACCUGUUCAGGUUUCGAUCAUCGACACGUUCUAUAGCUUCUUUCGGUGAUUCGUGCGCCAAACCGCGGCCUCAGUCCACUUGAUUAACCGGGUAGCAUCUCCUGUUCUGUCGUCACAAGUAAGAGGCCGAGAGUCCGAUUCUCUUAUUAUGAUGAAAUUGAUCAUAGCUGACUUUUUUUUCUUUGACUUCGAACAUCAUGUACUGAUUUAGGUUGAGUCUAGUUACAAAUUUGGGUUCGAAAUGGCUUUGAUCUGUUCCACAACCGAUUCACCAUAAUCUGUUCGAUGAAAUGUGUCUGAGACCUUGGUGUGAAUUGAUUCCAGUAAUCGUCCGAUUUGAAAGCACAUUAGUGAUGUUCACUUGAUAUUGUUUGAUUUUUUAAUCUUUAGACAUGAUUACGAGUAUACACCAAUAGUUGCCAAGGAUUAAACUGACUCUCCGUUUGUUUCCUCGGUGGUUCCUGUGAUCUUUUGGUGAUUGGUGGUGGUUGGCGAGACGAGAAGGCUUGGAGUCACUGGCACACGCGUGAUCUUUGGUGAUGAUCAUAGUACACCCUGUUGAACAGAAUUGAGAUGAUGUCGCUGAGCAUGAAUCGCGAUCACGCCAAUUCAGAUCACUAACUUUGGCCAACACAUGUUUCGGUCACUAACUGGAGCAAUGUUAUGGCUGAUUGCUAGCCGUAUCCUUGCUGCUGAGUCGCCCCACAAUGUCUUCGACCGCAGAGCUUUGCUUCUGUCCAUGCCUUGCAGUCCAUCAUUGCCAUUGUAAUUGCCGUGGUAAACCUACCUUGCCAUACAGCCAUACGUUAGCGAUAUGGAUUGAUGUACCGAUAGAGCUAUUAUCCACUGCGUUUUGUUAAAAAUCGGAUCACCUCAUACCGGUGGCUUGUUUCUGGUCCAACUGAUUUUUAGAGUUGACUGUAUGUUCAGAUUUCCUUCACCCCUUUGUUUUUUGUGUUCAGAAUUUUGCGCAUCUUCUUAAACCGAAUCAUGGGAAAGCUAAGCUGUUCAAAGUCCAGUCGUCAUGGGGUCAAUACUUUGUCACAAAAUCGUUACAUGUUACCUGCUUCGCCAUUCCUGUCCUGUCCUUUGGUUAUUGAUUACUCCACCUUCGUCAAUUUCAUUGUCCAGAAGCAGGUAAUAAAUCUGAGAACAACCACUGAAAUGAUAUUUUAUUUGUGUUGUCUACUUCCUGCUUUAUUCUCUGUGCAUGACAUAUUCUACUUCACACGUGCUGUCGAGGGAAAUCAUGGUCGACAAUCAAUAUGAAGUGAGCAAGUUAUAUUUACUCUCUGUCAUUAGUUGAUAAGCUUUUGGGUAUGACAAUCAAGGAAUGAAACCAGUUAGUAGCUUGCUCAGAAUUAGUAAAUGAGGAUUUAUUUCUUUCUUGGAAGUGUCAAUGUCAUUGCUUUGUCUCUGAUCGUGGAAAGAGUUUAUUGUUCUUUUUGAACUUGCAUAAAAAUCGAUGGAAUGCUAAUGAAGCAGUGGGAUACCCGAAAUUUACAAGUUUUAUGAAUUGGUGUGUCCUGUUUUUGCAUAUGCUGUAGUUUAGCGGUUAUUGUUCAUCUAUGUUUGCUGAACCGUUUGAUUUAUCACUUUCAAUUAACAAGAUUUUGAUAAAGACACGUGACAGUUGUGAGAGAUGCAUUGAAACUGGCACUUUGGUGAUGACAGUGCUCCUUCGUGUCACACUAUGUACUUGUUUUUAGGAAAAAUCAUUUAUGAUGUUGGAGAAGUGAAUAUGUGUUGAAGGUGCCAACCCCUCGUGAUCUUGGACCCACUCGUUGAAGAAAUGGAGAGGUAUAAACGUAAUUACUUUCCUUCUCUUCGCAACAAUUCUGCCAUUCCCAUAGAAGUUCCAAGAGUACAAUGAGGUCACUUAAAAAUAAGAAAACAGAAAAUGGAGAAACAUUUUGAAUCGGAAGCAACUAAACUAGUGUUCUAUUAUGGUUUUCUCCUAAAAUAUGUGGUGCUUAGAAUCAUUGAGAGAGAGAGAGAGAGAGAGAGCUUUCCGGAGUAAUGCUUACAACCGUGGCUGAUCAGUCAAAUAGCACAUUGGACAAUGUACAAGACUAUGUUAAGCAGGGAGAAUUAAGAUAGGUAUCCGCGUGCUUUAGUUUCUUUGCGCUUCCAGCUGAGUUGAAGCUAGAUGUAUAUAGGCGGCAUGCAUCUAUGAAACAGAAUAUCUACAGUGUCAGAGUAAACGAGGUAAGUCUGAUAAUUAUAAUGGAGGUAAUAUACAUUUUGCAGGCCCAGUAAUGGACAUGUGACGUUUGGCCAACCAAAUGAACAUAUGAAGCACAAAACCAGAAACAAAUUCUUUCAUUGUCUCACUUGUCAGCACCGGUAAAAGCAUCACGCACCUGCAAACUUCAAACAUCUCACUUGACUGAGUCCAAACUCCAAAUCUUUGCAUGGAAAGUAGAAUUGGAUAACAAAAAUGUUCACAGCAUACAAAUAAGAGGGCGCAUGAAGCUAUUGCUUCAAUUUUGCUGCUGAAGAGCACCCCACUAAUUUCGGAAUCCUCGCUGCAACCGCAAUUACCACAAUUUCCUUCAAGUGAUUCACAGUAUGAAUUCAUCUCCCAAAGUUUUCCGUCAAAAUUUGAUUCAUUAAGUCGAUGAAUGUAAGUGUCCCCAACGUAGUCCCAAAUUGCUGCGUUCUUAAAUCUAGAGAAUAGCAAUAUUGUGUAUUUUUCCAUUGGCUGAUCGCGUGCUUAUCUUUACAUCUACAAAUCCAAAAACGAAAAGCUGUAACAAGACAGCCUACCAAAACACUAAAAUAUAGACCGAAGAUGAUCAUACACCUUCCACAUCUUCCAAAACCACAUAUCAGACAAACCCGAAGAUAGAGCAAAUUGAGAUAGAGCAGAACGAAAUAUUCUUCAGAGUCAGUUCACAGAUGGGCAUCCCUGAUGAUGUUGCAAUAUGAAGCCACAUAUGCGAUAAUGUUUAAUUCUCGCAAUCUGAUCAAGUAUGCGCCAUACUUAAUAUCUUUAGCAAUGUAAUUGAACCUUGCAACAAAAUCAAAGGAACACCCUUGGCACAUCACCAGCAUUGGAGAAUAUCAUAUUGACUUAUUUUAAACAUAAAGAUUGACGAAUCAAGGAAAGGUUAGUAAGCAUAUAUCCAUUGAUGGUUAUCCUAUGUGACACUUUUUCAUCCUUUGAUAUAUACUCGAGUUCAAAGUUACUUCUUUGCUACAAAUUUACAUGGAUGGAGCAUUAGCACAAUCAGUGGAAUAUAGCUUAAAAUGUGAAAAAUGACCAAGCGCCAUAUUGUCUAACAGCCAGAAGUUUGAGAUCAAAGAUCAGCGCUUUGACAUCAUUAUGAUAACCUAUGUCAACAGUGAGUACUUAAGUUCAAUGCAUAAAUUCGAUAAUUUAUUAUUGGCCAGUGCUAUUGUGAUACCCUUGGACUCACAAUAAAUUGGACACAACGGUGACAAGACCAUUAGAUCAAAUAAUCAUAAUGAGACACUGCAAAUAUUCUUGUGUCAAAGUAUAAGAAAAAUCAAAAAACUUAGUCCAAGAAGCCACACCAUGGACCUAUUCCAAAUCAUCAAAAAAUGUAAUAAUCAUUUAAAGUGUUGAUAAAACCUCCAUAUAUAUAUUUUAAAAUUAACAAAACUAUCCAUGUUUGUAUUGAUCUUGGUAAUCGCAAAAAAGGCAUUUGUGUUUUGGGUACUAUCCGUGUCGAAAGGAUUCUUCUUGUCUAAUAAUUCUUAUUAAACAAAGAAUGGAGAGUUUAUAUAUGUGUGAUAUUAGCAAGUGACCUGCAUGAUUCAGCAAGUNNNNNNNNNNNNNNNNNNNNNNNNNNNNNNNNNNNNNNNNNNNNNNNNNNNNNNNNNNNNNNNNNNNNNNNNNNNNNNNNNNNNNNNNNNNNNNNNNNNNNNNNNNNNNNNNNNNNNNNNNNNNNNNNNNNNNNNNNNNNNNNNNNNNNNNNNNNNNNNNNNNNNNNNNNNNNNNNNNNNNNNNNNNNNNNNNNNNNNNNNNNNNNNNNNNNNNNNNNNNNNNNNNNNNNNNNNNNNNNNNNNNNNNNNNNNNNNNNNNNNNNNNNNNNNNNNNNNNNNNNNNNNNNNNNNNNNNNNNNNNNNNNNNNNNNNNNNNNNNNNNNNNNNNNNNNNNNNNNNNNNNNNNNNNNNNNNNNNNNNNNNNNNNNNNNNNNNNNNNNNNNNNNNNNNNNNNNNNNNNNNNNNNNNNNNNNNNNNNNNNNNNNNNNNNNNNNNNNNNNNNNNNNNNNNNNNNNNNNNNNNNNNNNNNNNNNNNNNNNNNNNNNNNNNNNNNNNNNNNNNNNNNNNNNNNNNNNNNNNNNNNNNNNNNNNNNNNNNNNNNNNNNNNNNNNNNNNNNNNNNNNNNNNNNNNNNNNNNNNNNNNNNNNNNNNNNNNNNNNNNNNNNNNNNNNNNNNNNNNNNNNNNNNNNNNNNNNNNNNNNNNNNNNNNNNNNNNNNNNNNNNNNNNNNNNNNNNNNNNNNNNNNNNNNNNNNNNNNNNNNNNNNNNNNNNNNNNNNNNNNNNNNNNNNNNNNNNNNNNNNNNNNNNNNNNNNNNNNNNNNNNCAAUUGAAAGUCACAUUUCAUAUUCUUCCCUAAAAUAUAUUUUGUUUUAUCUUUCAUAAUAAAAUUGUCAUUACUAUAUGCAUCUUCUUGUUUAUUUCUCAUAACGAAGCGCAUAACCAAUACACUAUCGUCCUCAUGAACUACAUUGUCUACCAAAUUAACAUGUCUUAUCUUAUUUUAUUUUCUUUUCUUUUAAAUUGAGGUAUUGCAUUAAACAUCUUAACAAAUUUUAUUCUAUUUAGGAAACAAAAAGUAACCAUUUGGUUAAGAUAAUAUAUUUAUGACAGUGUAAUUGGUCAAGGUGGCGACAUUAUUGUAUAGUCAGUUCAUACUAUCGGAUCACUAAUGACAGUGACUUAUAACGAGUAUUGCUCAUUAAUUUUCUUUUCUAUAUUUUGUUAUUAAUUAAAUAUGCAAGUCCAGUAAGGUGUGCUCAAUCUCGACUAUCAAUAAAAGAUUCAUGUGCACUUGCUCGAAUAUUCAGAUUUAUGGAUUUUAUUGAUCAUAUGUUGUUGGACGAUGUCAAUUACAAAGUUUGGAUUAUUUAAGGUUCGGGCCAAGAUGAUGUGGCAUUAACAUAUAUUCCCAAAAUAUGAACCCAAUAUACCAACAACUCAGGAAGGGCCAGGAGUUUGUGAAAAGAAAAAAGAAGGUUGACCAAAAUUAUCUCGUUUAGGUCAUGGGUGGAUUUAAUGUAAUGUAUAACUCAAUUAGUUGUUGAUUGUGUAAACAAGAUCGUCGUAAUCAUCCAAUUUGCCCAAUCAAGGACAAACAAAUCUUCUCAUAUUUACCAUCAAUCGAUUUUUAAUUAUCUUGAUAAUCUAAUAUCCAUAUAGUAGAUUCUUCAGAAUUGUUACUUUAUUAAAUGUGCUAAUAUGCUUGUAACUCCAUUCAAACUGGGAUAGAGAGCCUAAUCUGAUUCCCAUCUUUAGUAAAAUCUUCACGUCUAAUUUUCAAAGGCCAUUAAACAGCAGAAAAGAAGUGGCUCUGUGUAGAGGGUUUGCAUUACGGUUUUCUAAUAAAUUAGGUAUCCUCUUCAAAAUUAUAUGCCAAUGAGUAUAUCAUUAUCAUUAAACGCUGCCGUAAUCUACUUUAUUUAUUUAUUUACUAAAAUUUGUUGGCGGAGAAUACGCACCUACCGCAUAAUGUUGCGGAAAUAAUAACCCAAGGAGUAAUGUUUUUGUGAUUGACUCGUGUAGAUUUGCACCGGAAUCAUGGGAGUAUUGCUAAUGCUGGUUAGUUUUCUUUUAUAUUUCUCUUAUUAACGAAACAGCAAAGUCAAGUCAACAAGCACGAGCAUAGGAUUCUUUCACGCACCUCCUGCAAACUGCUGUGGAAAUUACGCGUGCAUUGAUUGACCUGUGGAAAUUGGUUUUGGUGAGAAUUGACGGUUGGUCUUCAUUUUUAUUUCUUUAUUAGUAGAAAAAGCAAGUCAAGUCAAAAAGCUUAGGAUGGUCCCCACGCUUGCUGCAAAAUGCAGUGGAAAUUACGCGGGCAAUAGUUGCCCUACGGUUGUCUUUUCUAUUUCUCUUAUCGAUACAGAAGGCAAGGCAAGUCAAAUCAAGGUCUUGCUCGCUUUGGAUAAAUAAAAUGUUUAGAAAUAAAAUAUCAUUAACAUUGGAAAUAUUUGUUAUUAAUUAAAAUAAUUAAUUAAUAUAAAUAAUCAUUUAAAAAAUAUAUUUUAAAUGAUAUGAUGAAAUUAUUUUUUAUUAACUAGUUAUUUCAAAUAAUACAAGUAAACAUAAGAUUUAUCAUUUCAAAAAUUGACUUGUAUUUCUCUAAAAAAUUAAUCAAUAAAAAAUAUUUUCAUUAUCAAUGAUAAUUUAUAUUUAAAUAUUUUCAUGAACAAUUCAUUUAUUAAUUUUAGUAAGUAAUAUAAAUGAUUAUUUUUAAAAUAAUAUUUUUUGAAUUAUUUUUAUCUUAUGGAACAAAUGCACGCUAAAAGCUCCAAACAAAUGUUAAACUGAUGUGAUGAAGUAUUAAGGUGCCCUAUCAAGGACCCCAAACGUUAAAUCCUCGAAGUUGCCAUACAGCUUGUACCUAUCAAAGAAACUCAAAAAUCUACCCACACUGAUAUGAACAAGACAAACUGGUGGACUAGAGAGAGCCUUGUAAGAUGAACCAAAGAUAAGGAUGGAAUCUUGAACACCCAAUGAAACAAGAGAUACAGAUAUCACAAGAUAAGGCUCAAAAUUCAUUUAUAAUAUGUUUUGUGGUGUGUUUAGGCCAUAGACCGAUCAUAUCUUUCAUUCUCAUUGGAUGCGCAGGAAUCCAAUAUCCUAAUAUAUAAUAUAGGUGUGUUUCAAAGGUUGUGGUCUCCGAAUAUGCAAACAUUUUUUUUUUCUAAUAAGGUGCUAAUUUGUCUUUACCUAGUGUGAGUGGAAAUCCAUCACUGACCUCACCAGUAUUUUCCAUGAUCUAAUUUCAAAUAGUAGAAGAUUAAUGGGCAAGUUGAGCCUAGAAAUCCUUGCCCAACAUCAAUCAUGAUUAAAGAAUAGGAAAAUACUACCAACCCCAGGUCUAUAGGGAGAGAAUUUAUCUUUUGUUUUUUCAUUCAUCUUUUUUAGUUUUUGCCGCACUCUUAGUUUAAUAUUCCUUGAUCUUAUGCAAUUAAAAUAUUUGCACUCACAUUAAGGACCCAAUUGCACUAUCACUUGAAUUAUUUUCCUAAAAUUAACUAUUUAUAUCAUUUAAAAUAAUUAAUUAAUAAAAAUAUUUUAAUUAUCAAUGAUAAUUUAUAUUUAUACAUUUUGUAUUUUUUUUCAAAGCGAGCAAGACUUUGACUUGACUUGUCGUGCCUUUUCUAUGAAUAAGAGAAAUAGAAAAGAAAACCAAAGGGAAAUCAUUGCCAGCGUAAUUUCCAUUGCAUUUUGCAGAAGGUACCGGGGACCAUCCUCUGCUUCUGGACUUGAUGUACUUUUUCUACUAAUAAAGGAAAUAGAAAUGAAAACGAACAAGCAAUUCUCCACCAUCUAAUUUCCACAGGGCAAUCAAAUGCACGUGUAAUUUUCACAGCAGUUUGCAGAAGGUGCGUGGAACCAUCCUGCUCUGGUGCUUCUUGACUUGACUCUGCAGUUUUCUGUUAAUAAGAAAGAUAGAAAAGAAAACUAAGGGCGCGUUUGUUUUCACUUCUUUUUUUUGUUUUUAAACAACUUUUCUGUUUUUCUGUUCCUGGGAACAAAAAAGGAACAUAAACGCAUUUGGGUGCGUUUUUGUUCCAAAAUUGUUUUUUUGUUCCCAGAAACACAUUUGGAACAGAAACAAGAAACAAAAAACAAUUGUUUCUCAUUUCUGAAACAGAUUUGAGAAACACAUUUCUUCUUCUUCUUUUCUUCUUCUUUUUUCUUUCUUUUUUCUUUGGCCGGUCGCCAGCUCGGCCAGGGCCGGCGACCGUCGGCGACUGGCGGUCGGGGGCCGGCGUACUCACCGGAGCAUCGCCGGCUCCCGGCGAGGCUGAGCUCGCCCAGAUCCGGCGAGCCCGACCUCGCCCAGCGGCCGGCGAGGCUCGGCGUCGCCGGGCCACCGCCAAGUCGGCUCCUGGCGGUGGCCCGGUGAGGCCGAGCCUCGUCGGCCACUGGGCGAGCCCAACAUCACGCCGGGUUGGGCGAGCUCGAGCUUGCCCAACCAAGGCGAGGCCGAGCCUCGCCUAGCUAUGGAGAGGCUCGGCCUCGUCGGGGGGCCGGCGAGCCUCGCCGUGGCUGGGCGAGGCCGCCGGCCCCUCGUCGGCCGGUCUGCCGUCCAUGGGUCGAGGCUGGCGACCGCGCCAACAGAAAAGAAAAAUGAAAAAUGGGAAAUAGAACUAGUAAAUGAAACUGUAAUAACUAUGUAAAAAAUCGUUCUUAGACUUUACCGAAGCGUGUUUUUGGUGUAAUUUUUAUUUUCCGGAACAAGUUUACCAAACGCGUUUUUUUGUUCAAAAAUUGUUCUCCGGAACAUAAACAUUUUUUUUUAUUUUUGUUCCCUGGAACAAUUUUUAAACAUAAAUGUUACCAAACGCGCCCUUAACAAGCAUAGCAAUGCUCCCGUGCUCCCGGCAGUAAUUUAAAUGAGUUAAUAAAAAAAAAAACCACUUGUUGGAUUAUUAUUUACGUGGUAUCAUGUGGAAGGUGCGUACUCUCCGCCAACUAAUUUUAAUAAACCAAUAAAAAGAAAAUAGAUUGCAAUAGCAUUUGAUGAUGAUGAUAGGAUGCACCGGAAAGGAAAAUUAGAAAAAUUUUCCUUUUUUCUUUCAUCAAUCUUUCUUUUAUCUAAAUAAAUUACUAACUCAUUCAUAUAUAUUUUCAGAUGAUGAGAAAACCCUUCCGAUUUCCAUUAUUCAUUCAAAUAAUGGAUGUUUCGUUCAUUUCCUCUAGAUAUUUUGCCUCCCAAGCAAGUAAAAAUCUAGGAGCUCACUAAUUCCAUCCAUUCUCGCUACACUUCUUGAUUCCCAAAAGAGUUUGAACCAAUGUUUAUCAUUUGUCUAGAUAACUUCUUGAUCCUCAAAAGAGUCUGGACCAAUAUUUAUCAUUUGUCUAGACAACUUACAUAAUGACAAACUUUUCUCCUCCUAGAUAUCUAGGAUUUCAAUUUUUUUUUUCUUUUCCUCGGGGAGGGAUUCACCCAUCGGCCACGCCCACCAAUUAUUAGAAGCAUCGUUAGGAAAAAAAUAAAUGCGCCCUACUAUGCGUCAAAGUUACAUUCCAUAUUCUUCCUUAAAAUAUAUUUUGUUUUAUCUUUCACAAUAUAAUUAUUAUUAAUCCAUCGAUUGUUUUUUUUUUCAUAACUAAGCACAUAACCGGUACGAUGCCGUCCUCAUAAACUACAAUGUCCAUCAUAUCAUAAUGUCUUGUUAUGUUUUUCUGUUUUUUUUUUUAUUUUCGUUCGUAAAUCGAGGUAGUGUAUUAAACAUCAUUUAAUUAUGAUGAUAUAUUUAAUAGUGUGAUUGGUCAAGGUCGUGAUAUCAUUGUAUGGUUAGUUCGUGCUACUCAAAUGCUAAUGAUAGAGACCUGUAACAAGUAGUGCUCGUGAAUUUUCUUUUAUAUAUUUUGUUAUUGAUGGAAAAUGCAAGUCCAAUCAAGUGAGCUGGAUCUCAAAUUUCCAUCGAAGCAUCACUUGCACUUGCUCAAAGCUUCAAGUCUAUGGAUUUCAUUGUUUGCAUGUUGUUGUAGGAUGUCAAUCGCAAAGUUUACUUGGGUGGGGCCAACUACAAUGUCUUGUGAGUUUGUGAAAAUGAAAAAAAAAAACAUUUGAUCAAAAUCAUCUUGUUUACGUCAUGAAAUGGAUUUAACAUAAUGUAGUAAAUAAAUUAGUUAUUAAUCGUGCUAACAAGAUUGUCAUAAUUGUCCAACUUGCCCAAGCAAGAACAAACGAAUUUUCCCGUAUUUACUAUCACUUCAUUUUUAAUUAUCUCGAUAAUAAAAAAUCCAUAAAUUGUAGAUUCUUCACAAUUGUUACUAGAUUAAAUGUGCUAACAUGCUUGUAGCUCCAUCCGAACUUGAACAUAGAGUUUCACCAUAUUCCUCUCUUUAGUAAAAUUUCCACAUCUAAUAUUCAAUCGGCAUUAAACAGUAGGAAUGAACUAGUUCUAUGCACAAAUUUGAUGAUUGUAUUACGAUUUUAUGAUAAAAUAGGUAUCUUCUUCAAAACUAUAUGUCAAUAUGCAUACCAUCAUCAUUAAACGCUACAGCAAUUUACUUUUUUUUUUCUUUAUUAAAAUUAGUUGGCAGAGAAUACGCACCGUCCACAUGAUGCCGUGGAAAUAAUGAUGCAAUGAGUGAUGUUUUUGUGAUUGACUCAUGUAUAGUGGCACCGGCGGCAUGGGAGCAUUCCUAUGCUGGUUAGUUUUCUUUUCUAUUUCUCUUAUUAGUUGGAAAAAAAAAGCAAAGCAAGUGAAGAAGCAGCAAUAUUGCAUGGUUCCACGCACCUUCUGCAUAACUGCUGUGGAAAUCACGCGUGCAUUGAUUGCCUUGUGGAAAUUAGAUCGUGGAGAAUUAAUCGUUGGUUUUCAUUUCUAUUUCCUUUAUUAGCAGAAAAAGCAAGUCAAGUCAAGAAGCAGAGAAUGGUCCCCGACACCAUCUGCAAAAUGCAGUGGAAAUUACGCGGGUAACAAUUGCCCUUUGGUUUUCUUUCCUAUUUAUCUUAUUGAUAGUAAAGGCAAGGCAGGUCAAGUAAAAUGCUGACAAUUAGUGGAGGUCACAGCGGCAGGCGAGCAGUCAUAAGCGUAAGGGGGAAAUUAUCCACCGAGCACGCCCACUAAUUACUAAGAGCACCGUCAGAAAAAAAAGAUAAUACACUUUACGAUGUGAAGAAGCAAUUGCAUUUCAUUUUCUUUCCCAAAACUUUAAUUUGUUUUAUCAUUGCUAUUUAAGCUUUGUUUCGUGCAUAUACUUAUUUAUUUCUUACAUAAGGAUACAUGUAAUUGGUAAAAUGUCAUCCUCGAGAACUACAAUGUCCACUAUAUUACCAUUUCUCAUUUUUCUUUUUCCAUUUGUACUUUGAGGUGAUAAAUUAAAAAUGUUAACAAAAACAAAUUCUACUCAGGAGUCAAGUCAAGCAUGAUGAAUCUCAAAUUUUGAUCAAAAUGUCACACAUUUGAUAGAAAUUUCAAAAUCUAUGGAUUUCAUUAUUCACAUGUUAUGGUAGUUUGUCAAUUGGAAGGUUUGGAUUAUUUAAGAUUUGCAUAAAGAUAAAUCUAAUAUGAGGCAACAACUCAAUUAGUUCUUAAUUACGCAAAUGUUGUGAUUGUCCAACUUGCCCAAUCAAUAACAAACAAACCUACCCAUAUAUACUAUCAAAUCGUUUAUUUAAUUUUCUCGAUAAUCUAAGAAUCAUUGGGAUAUAGGGUCUCAUCCGGUUCUAAUAUUUCGUAUGAUGUCUGCAUCGUUUCUUCAGUUGACCGUAAACAAUGAUGAAGUGACUCUACACACAUGAAUUUUGGUGGUCGUCUUCUGCUUUUCUGAUAAAAUGGGUCCCCCCUUCAUAACUAUACGUCAAUAUGCAUGUCAUGAUCCAUCCUGCAGAGAGAGAGAGAGAGAGAGAGAGAGAGAGAGAGCGCAUUAUCGCAAUCUGCACAAUCAGAAUUGAUUGUUGCUUUUCGGUUCUAUUUCUUUAUUCAUAAAAAAAAAAGUCAAGUCAAGUAAAAAAGCACACGUACCUUCGCCUGAUGCUGGUGUGCAAUAAUUAUCCUGUCCGCAGCACGCGACUUGGAUCGUUGGAUGGCACAUUUAUCCUACAGAGAGAGAGAGAGAGAGAGAGAGCAUUAUCAAUCUGCACAAUCGGGAGAGAGAGAGAGAGAGAGCAUUAUCGCAAUCUGCACAAUCGGGAGAGAUUGUUGCUUUUCGAUGCUAUUUCUUUAUUCACAAAAAAAAAAGCGAGUCGAGUCAAAAGGCACACGUACCUUCGCAUAAUGCUGGUGUGCAAUAAUUAUCCUGUCCGCAGCACGUGACUUGAAUUGUUGGAUGGCAACUCAGCAUUAUGUGCUCUUUUGGACGAAUCUCCUUUGAAAGAAAAAAAAAAAAAAGAGAGUAGAUUUUGGAUUGAAAAUAAUAAAUUAUCCUUAUUCGAGUAUCUAAACAAAGUGUCCUGCUGACAUUUAUGUUAAUAUGUUUUUGUAAUUGACUCAUGUCUAUUAGUACUGGCACCAUGGGACUCUUGCUGGUUAGUUUUCUUUUCUUUUUCUUUUAUUAAUAGUUAAAAAAGCAAGUCAAGUAAAAAAAACACUUGCAUAGAAUGGCCCCACGCACCUCCUACCGUGUAAUGCCGGGGUAUUAUCAAACACCAUUUUCUUUCAUUUUAAAUACUUAAAAUGGUCUGAAAUUCAGUAAUUAUUUUCCAGUUUUACUUAAAUGGGCAUGUACUCGCAGCUUAUUUUUCACAAAUGAAUUAAGUUUAGCACUGGCAAAAAAAAAAAAAAAAAAAAAACAAGUUGAGUCAAGUUGAAAAUCGAGUUCUAAUGCAAAAGGUUCGACUUGAAAUUACCAAUGCAAUCAUUUACUUUAAGCCAUCAUAAUACAAUGCUAAAUAUAUUUUAGAUCUUAACAACUUAUUUGGUUUGAUUUCUAGCUUUUUCUUGACAACAAAGUAUAGAUUAAGUACGUUAAUCCGCAUAUCAACAAAUUCUCCACUAAUGCAAAAUAUCAGGCAAGACACAAGUCUCCAAAUACGAAAGAGUUUAUGCUUACAAAUAUGAGGAACCAACACAAAUUGCAUACUUAGGCCCCAUAUACUAAUUUUUACUUUCUAUUCUCUCGCACCUCUCAUAGUCGAACUUUUGCUUAACAAAAAUUAUUUAAAAGAUUCAAAAUAUGCAGAUAUCUAUCACAAAGAUAAUUAUACGAUUAUGUUUGUAAUUUAACUUAAAGAACGUACACAGUUAAAAAUUUUCAAAUGUAAAACAUCAAUUAUAUUUUUAAGUGCAACCUAAAUAUUUAUCAAAGGGCCGCAUACCAAAAUUUUCUUUUAUUUUGAAAGAGGUAAUGCUCCUCAUUUGUCGGCAGAGAAAAAGGCCUAAAGAUGGAGCACCUCAGUUAGCGCUGUCGGGGAGCAUUUCAUAUUCCCCACCUUCUUUUUCAAAAAGCCAAAAGAAAUCGCCCCGAACGUCCAACCCGCCCAGUCGCCUCGGUCAGGGAGAACGCGGGAACUCGCUCGGACCGCGCGCCCCGUGGGCUCGAGGGGGCAAUUCGGUACAUUCCGAGUGGCCGAAGAUAUUCCCGAGAUGCGAGGUGGGGACCACACGUUGGCUUCGGUUUCUGAGCAGCUGACCGUCGUAGCGGUCGAGCAACGCGGAGAGGAGGAGCGGCGUGGGUCCGCGUGAAGAGACAACCUAAGCAGAAUCCACGAGGCAAAUUUCUACUCAGUUUUCGCGGAUAAAAGUCUUCGUUUAGUUACUUUAGGGUUUCCACCAUUGCUUAAGGCCUCAGCUUGCAUAGCAGAGUUUACUCUUACCGAUCUAGCAAAUUCAUCCAUCAAAUCUCCAUAAUUGUUUCGGCAAACACAGAUUAUCGCUCCGAUCGUUGUUCCGGACAAGAAAGUUCUAUUUAUAUUGAUUUUGAGGGUGUCUUCGCUUGGGCCAAACUAGAUCUGAGGUGAGGCUUCUUCGCCUUUUCCCAACUGUUGAAGCACUAAUUUUUCGCCAUGGUUGAACUUAUAAGGUGCUUCGGAUUUGGCUUUAGUUUGCAGAAAACAGAGUAAUUUCUUUCUUUCCAAAUACGCCAGAGGAUAGAUGCAAGGAGGCUGAAACAUGAAGAGGAUGAUUGAAUUUAAGUAGCCAUUCAUCUAUUCGACCUAGUCCAUAAGGUGAGAUCUUAAUUUGUAGUGCAGGAUCCAUCCAAAUUUGAUGUGUGCAAGGGCAAAGUAAGAAGAGGUGCUCUACCGUUUUCGGGUUCUGUUUACAUAAAUCGCAGGUACUUUCUUCCACUAUACCUCUCUUUCGUCGAUUUUCUUUUGUCGGCAAUGCGUUUUGACAAAAUCCCAAUAAGAAAAUCUUGAUUUUCAGGCUUGUCUUAGCCUUCCAAAUCUUUAUCCAAAGAGGUCUAGGGAUUUGGUGAGAGGUCGAGGUUGUGGUGUUAUUGUUUUGUUCUUCCUUCUCUUUGAUUCUAUUAUACCCACUUUUAAGAAGUAUAGUCUCCUGUGCUUUUGUUUGUCCAACAUAAUUUAUCCUUCUUUGCCUGGGAACCAAUGGGAUAUUUAGAAUUUCGUUAGCUGUGUGCUCAUCGAACAGAGUUCCAAUAAAUUGUUCAUUCCAAGCUGGGACAUCUCUCUGAAUAAGCUCAGAGACCUUUUUUGGUUCAUCCCUAUUUGUGGGUCUUCCUAUAACUCCUCUGGGAAGCCAUUUUGUCUCUCUAAUAUUAAUCUGUUCCCCGUUCCAUGCUAUCCAUUUUACUGAAGGAAGAAUCUCGUCUUUGCUCAUUAGAAGAUUUUGUUUGCCCCAUAAAAGUGGAUACCCCUUUGCAGCUGACCAAAUUUUAGAAUGAGGGAAUUAUAGACCUUUUAGUAAUUGGCACCAUAGUGAUGAAGGAUUUUGCAUCAUAUGCCAUGCUUGUUUACCGAGCAUGGCUUUGUUGAAGGCAAUUAAAUUUCAAAAUCCCAAACCUCCAUUGUCUUUCCUAUUCUUAAGAAUGUGCCACUUCUUCCAGUGUAUUCCAGAUUUUUGUUCAUCAGUAUUCCGCCAGAAGCUUGCGACUUUCUUUUCAAUACUUCAACAAUUAAAAACUAGAACUUUAAAAACUGACAUUGCAUAUUGUGGAAGAGCCUGCACUACUACUUUGAAUGAGAACUUCUUUUCCAACCCUAGACAUAAGUUUUUCCUCCCCCCUUUUAGUUUCAUGUUUACCCUAGCUAAUAUCCAAGCGAACAUUUCAAUUUUUGUUUCACCCCAAUCACAAGGAAUUUCUAAAUACUUCCCGGUUUUAGCAAUUUCUGGGACCCCCAAUUCAGCUGGCAUAUUUUGGCAGAGUGUAAAAGGACAUUUUUGCGGAAGGAUAACCCUGAUUUGUUUAAGUUUAUAGCCUGGCCUGAAGCAAAACAGUAGCUCUUCAAAAUCUUAGCCACGGCUUUGACAUUCUUUUAUAGUCCCAUCCAAGAAAAAGAUUGAAUCAUCUGCAAAGAGAAGGUGGGUUAGUGUAGGACAAUGCUUGUUCAGCUAAAUGCCUUUAAUAGUGCCUUGCUUUGAAGCUUGUUUCAAUAAUACCGAGAACAUAUUUGUCACUAUAAUAAAAAAGAUAUGGCGAUAGUGGAUCACCUUGUCGUAGACCUCUUGAAGGUUGAAAGUAAUGAAGUGGUUCUCCAUUGAAAUUUAUAUUGAAAGAAACGGUGGCAACACAUUACAUUACCUAGGUCACCUAUUAGCAUGAAAACCCAUUUUUAUUAUACAAGCUUUCAAGAAGUCUCAUUCAAUUUUGUCGUAUGUCUUUCGCAUGUCCAAUUUUAGUACAGCUUGUAACUUCCACUUUCUAUUUCUGAUUUUGAGCUGGUGUAAUACUUCCUAGACUAUUAAAAUAUUGUCCCAGAUAAGUCGGCCACUGACAAAUGUAUUUUGUUCUAGUAAGAUGAGAACUCUCAACCACUUCUUCAGUCUAUUUGCUAAGAUUAUUGAGAUGAUCUUGUAUGAAAAGUUGCAUAAACUAAUGGGGAGAUAUUUGACCAAACUCUCGGGAUGGUCUUGUAUGCUCUUGUGAUUGACCCGUGUAUUUUCGCACCGGGAGCAUGGGAGCAUUGCUACACUGGUUAAUUUUCUUUUCUAUUUCUCUUAUUAAUGGGAAAAAAUAGAAGAAGCAAAGACAAGUCAAAAAGCACCAGCAUAGGGGUGGUUCCACGCACCUUCUGCAAACUGCCGUGGAAAUUACAUGUGCAUUGAUUGCCCUGUGCAAACUAAGCGAUGGAGAAUAUAGUUAUGGUAUUUUGUUUUAUAAAUAAUUUCUAUUUAGAAAUAAUUUUUUUAUUCUGUUCCUUUGAUGAGUUUCUAAGCAUUUGAAAUAUAUGGUAAUUGCACAAAAUUUCUAAUUUUGAAAUAGAAGAAGAAUAAAAAUGAGUUUGAUAUAAUCCUCAAUUUUUUUUGUGCCAUAGAAUUUGUUUUAAUUUUUUAAUAACUUUAUGAGAUCUUUUCUUUUUCUUUCUUUUCUUUUUCCUUCUCUUAUUCUUCUUCUUCCUUCUCUAGUCGGUCCCCCGCCUUUGAUGAGGUCUGAGCCUUGCCCAGCCAUGGCAAGGCUAAGCUCGCCUCGACGAGGCUGACCAUUUCUUUGGCUGGUUGCUGGGCUAGAGGAGGAGGAAGAAGAAAAGAAAAGAAAAUAAAAAAAACAAAAUUACUUGAUUCUAGAAUUAUUCCUAAAAACAAAAAAAUAAUCUCUUUUUAUUUGUCGAUUUUAUUCAAAAUUUAUUCUUAGAAAUAAAUUUAUUUUCGGGAGUAUAAAAAUUAAUUGAUAUUAUCAAAAUAAUUUUUAUUUUUAUUUAAAAAAAAUCAAAGAACAAAAUUCGCUAAGAAUUACCGCUUAUCAAUCGGUCCAUACUGACUUUUUUUUUGGUCGAAGGUCCUUACUAACUUGAAGCAUGAUAAUUGAUUGUUGAUUGUCGUUUCUAUUUCUAAACACUAGCAUCAUGGCACCCUUGAAAACUCAUCUACAAUUAAGUCCAGAACUACUAGAACUCAUUUAUUCCGAACUCCAUCCCUUCCCUCUUGCAAUGCCACAGGGAGGAGGGAAGGAAUACUUGCCUAGAUCCAUAUCUAAUGGACUACAUUCAUUAUAACAGUUAAUUAUGUGGAUCUCAUGUGGGCACUAUAUAGGAGACUAAUAUGAUUGAAUUAAUUUCUUUUAAACUUUAACCCUUCUCUACAAUGUUAGGAUUGCUUAUAUCAUCAGAUUAGGUCGAAUAUAAAGGAUUAUUUUACAUUAUUAAUGAAAUUGAAAGAGAUUUCUUUUCUUGGGAUAAUGACGGCUUGUGUUUUGCUUGAUGAGUAAUUGAGUACUUGAAUUUUUUUCUUUGAUCAAGCAUUUCAAUUUCUUAAUUUUGGGUUCGACGUAGUAUCUCCAUUAUUAUUGCUCUAUUUCUCCCCACUUUUUAUCUUCUCCGGCAAGUCCAUAUCACGUUCCCAUCCCAAGUCUCUCUCUCUCUCUCUCCCUCUCCACUUUUCUUCUUCCCAAAAAAUCCACCAUUUUUAAUGAAUUGAAUUUUUUUCGACCAAAAAAAGAAAGUGCAUUGAAAAUUUAACAUCACUUGUCUAUUUAUCUCUGGUUUUAUUUCUUUUCAUUUCUUCUGCAUUGAAAUUUCCUCGCAUAUUUUCUUCUUCUUGGACAGGUAUCGCGUUGGAUUUUCUUGGGCGUUGAGAUUUCCGCUUUGUGAAGACACGACUCUAAGCACGUGGUAACUGUUCCCAGUGCAUCAAUUACUAAUUUACAUAUACCUCAACCAGUUUGACACAUUGGUGCGAUUCUGAUUGCCGAUUGGUUCGAUUAUAUAACUCAAACCAAUAAAGAGGAGUGGGCAACAAGGCAUUUCGUGUUUCCUGAGAAGCAUUCUGGUUUUUCCUCUGUCAACAGUUGAAAGCAAACAGUAAGGGCAGAGUCAGAGCAAAGACGAAAUGCUUCGUCCCAUUUUUGAGCAUUCUUUCGCCGUGCUCGUGGCACUCGUCCUUCUCUCCGUCCUUGCGUUCUAUUUUCUGAACAAGAAGAAAACCGGCGUGCGUAAAAAUGUAAAAGAUGCUGACGCUGCCACAUCUGGUUCGUUGACCACGUCGACUGGAAACUACUACGAGGUGUUCUUGAACUUUAGAGGCCGAGAUACUCGAAGAGGCUUCACCAAUCACCUCUACAAUGGGCUUGUUGAUGCUGGAAUUUCUGUUUUCAAAGAUGAUAACGAGCUCCGCCAAGGCGAGAAGAUCGGACCAGACCUUUUGACAGCCAUUAGGAACAGUAAGAUCCUAAUCCCCAUUAUCUCCGUUAAUUAUGGGCAGAGCAGGUGGUGCUUGGAUGAACUAGUUCAAAUAAUGGAGUGCAAGAAGAGUAACAUGGGUUAUACCGUGUUGCCCAUAUUCUACAAAGUGGAACCAUCUCAAGUGCGAUAUCAAAAAGGGAGCUUUGGAAAGGCAUUUCGUACCCGCAGUAAGUAUUUCGACUCAACGACUAUGGAGAAAUGGAAGCAAGCACUCGAGGAAGUUAGUUCCUUGAAAGGAUUUGAUGCCAAUGGGUAAAAUUUUUUCACCAAAACAUUCUCUACUUUCUUUUAGUUUGCGUGGAUGUUUACUAGUUGUUCUAAUUCCUACUUGCUUCAUUUCUUUCUUUUAGUUUUUUAUUAUUAAAUAAAAUAAAGAAAAAGCAGUAAGAUCUUGCGAUGCAUGAGUUCCAUAAGUCAUUCUGUUUCAAGAAUUACUUUAAUGGUAUCAACAAAUAUUGUCGUAGAAUUUAUGGUUAUCAUCCCACUAGCUUGAACAAUAUAGAAUUUUUAAUUGACUUAUUACUGUUAUGUCCAACGACUUUUUAGGAUCGUGCCUUCUUUCAUGUUUAGGGCGUAAGCUUUCAUUACUCUUCAUCACAAAAUUUCCUAAUUACAUAUUUAUUUUAAGAUUAAGCUCAUCAAAUCAUAUACCACGCAUGUUGAAUUAAAUCAUUAUUGUCGUUAAUUUGUUGCUACUAAAAUUAGUUUUACAAAAGAAAUAUUUCAUUGGUUAUGUAGUAUGAUGGUAAAUUUAAAAAGGAAAAAAAUUAUAUUUAUUAUAUGUUUUUUUAGAUAAUUUUCAAUGCAUUUUCCUAUCUUAUAAUUUCUAUGUCAUAUGCCUGCAUAAAUUGAUUAAUUAAAAUCAUAUAAAAUAUACACUUAAGAGAAAAAUAAAGUACGACCUGUUAUCAUCCCUUGAUGCAAAGAAAAUUUAUAAGAACACAAAUCUAGAGUGAUAUUAAAUUCAGAGUAAGAGUAGAAACUUACAAGCGUGUAGAAUUGCAUAGAUAAGAGAAACACCCUCAAAUUCAGGUAGUCAUAAUAUAGAACUCUAACGACUUUCAUGAUGGGAAUUCCUCUUGCAUCAAAAGUUAUGACUUAGUUAUUGGUUGAUGGUUGAACUCUCAUAUCAGGUUGAUUUAUUGGAUUUUUUCUUAUUCAACCACUCUAGAAAAUUUUCAAUGUCAUGUAAACAUCAUCUCCAUUAUCUGUAACAGACAACAUUUAAAAUUUAAUUUAAAUCUAUAAUUCAUGUAAUAUUCAAGAUUCAUUAGCGAUACCCUUAAGUUUCUUCUGGUUCAACAAAUUAUGUAAGAGUAAUAAUGAAAUGGGGCACGCCAUGUGAAGCAACCACCACCAUUCCCUGCCUUUAUCUUAGCGUAUAAGAUAAUAUAUGGAGGUGGUGGCAAAAAAAAUCUUUAAGUUUUCCAUUUUAUUCUCCAAUUUAUUUAUUAUUGUCCUAUCAUUAAUUAAACAAUACAAAAUCGCUAUUUGCCAUGCAUUUGAACUCUUAUCACAUUUGACAGGUACGAAGGAGAAUUGGUAAAAUCAGUUGUACAACAAGUGUUAUUCGAGCUGAAGAAAAAGUUUGAGUUGCUUAUUCCAAAGAAUUUGGUCGGCAUUGAUUGUCAAGUGAAAAAGGUUAUGAAAUUUGUAGAUGAUAUUUCUAGUGCCUCCCUAUUUGUUGGCAUCCACGGAAUGGGAGGCAUUGGUAAGACUACUCUUGCUAAAAUCAUCUACAACAAGCUUUCCAAUCAAUUUAAGCAUCAUAGCUUCAUUGCUGAUGUAAGGGAACGAUGUGAUGAUAGAAGACUUGUGUACUUGCAAAAUCAGUUAAUCAAGGAUAUAUUGAAGCUAGAAAAUCAAGUUUCUAGUAAUGAUGAAGGGAUUCGGUUCAUUUCAUCCAAGUUUAAUGGUAAGAAAGUCCUUAUUCUUCUCGAUGAUGUGAGCAAUGACGAUCAAUUGAAGGCUUUGGCCGGAAAUCAUAAUUGGUUUUCUUCGGGAAGUGUGAUCAUCAUUACCACCCGAAACAAAAGUAUUCUUGACAAUGCUGGGGUGGACAAUCGGUAUGCACUUGAGCAAUUGGAUAAGGAUAACUCUUUGAUUUUGUUUAGUAGACAUGCUUUUCGAAGGGACUCUCCUCCAAGUGAAUUUGAGGACCUCACUCGUGAUGUUGUUUCCACCACUGGAGGGCUUCCCUUAUCUCUUGAGGUCUUAGGUUCGUUUUUGUGUGGAAAAAGUAGAAAACUAUGGGGAGAGGCGAUAAAGAAGUUAAGAAAAGUUCCUCAUGAGAGAGUGCAACAAAAGUUAAGGAUAAGUUACGACGAAUUAACCCAUGAACAAAAACAAAUUUUUUUGGAUAUUGCUUGUUUUUUCAUUAACACUGAUAAGAUAAUCGCAUCCUACAUGUGGGAUGCAUGUGACUUUUUCCCGGAGCAAGGAAUUGAAGUAUUGAGAUUUCUGUCUUUAAUAAAAGUUGGAGAUGACCAUAAGCUCUUAAUGCAUGACCAGUUAAGAGAUCUUGGUAGGGAAAUCAUCCGGGAGGAAAACUAUUCGGAGCCUUGGAACCGUAGCAGGUUAUGGGACUCUAAGGAUGUCUUGGAAGUGCUCGAAGGAAAUAAGGUAUUCGUUUCUUUUCUUCUGCUCCCUUAGUCCAUGUUGUAUUGUCAAGGUGACAUUGGUCCUCCACUUAGUGCUUGCUCUAGUGAAUAGAGAACCUUCCAAUAUUGUUCUCCUCGUGUCAUUUCGUUGACAUGGUUAGAAAGCAGAAAAUUGCUCUCUUAGUAAGUAUAGCAGUUUAUCAAAGAUUUUUCUUACACAAUUGUACAUUACGAAGGGUUUUCCAAGAAUGAGGUACUUUUGAAUUCAUUAGAUACUUGAUUGGGUAUUCUACAUUGAAAAAAUCUGAAUUUAUUUAAUUGUUUGGGUUAGGUCCUUGGCACGUGCAACAGAUAACUUGACUAUACUAUUGUGAACAAUAACUACUUAGGAUAUAUAAAACAUAGAAUCCUAAUCUCCAGGUGUUAGAAUUCAUACAAUUGGAGUAAUUGUGCCGGCAUUUUUUAUGAAAUUUCAAUCAUUAUACCUUAAUCGAGAACGUAAAGUUUGUUUUUUUUUUAAUUUUUAAUUUUUAUGUUAUGUUAGUUUAGGAAUUACUAAUUUACCAAAAUUCACAUGAUAGAACAGAAACAUAUGUAGACAUACAUAACGAUAACGUCGAGUGUACUUCCUGCAAUGACCAUUAAAAAGAGAAAGAUCUCUUUUUUUCCGCAUAAAAAGUCCAAGAGAUAAAUACCCUAUUCUAUUUUGUAUAUAAUUAAGUAUGUGAUUGUGUUACAUUUGUGAAAUUAAUUAUAGUUUUGACUUAAUUACUUUGAAUUCAUCAUCCAGUUUGAUUCAAAAUUGUUGCUCAAAAGGCCAGCACUUGUUUGCGUUUUUCAACGCGCAACCUACUUAUAAUCGCAAAGAGCCAAUUGAUAGUCUUAGCAACGUCAAGGCUAAUGUUUAUUUAUUACGUCUUUUGUAUUACAUCAUAAAAUACUCCGUUCGUUUUACGUAAAAUGGAUCAUUUUCGGAAAAUAUUUUUCCAGAAGUCAUUUUCCAGAAAAAUAACAAUAUUUUCUGGUGUUCGAUAAGGAAAAUAUUUUCCGCUCCCAAGAUUGGUGAGCAUGAGCGUCAAGCUCGAGGCUUGCCAAGAAAGAAGAAGAUGGGAAAUAAAGAAAAGAAAAAAAAGAAAAAGAAAAAGAAAAAGAAAAUUAAAAACAAUUUGAAUUAAAAAAGAAAAAGAAAACUAAAAAAUAAUUCGAAUAAAAAAAGAAAAGAAGAAGAAGAAAGGGGAGGAGAAAGUGAGGAUUUGUAGAUGUGUAAGAUAAGAGAGAUUAAGUGAGGAAAAUGUUUUUCAUUUUUCAAAAGUGAAAAACAUUUUCCCCUACUUUACCACUCACUGCGGUGGCGUAGUUGGCUUGAGCUUUGUGUCUCCCACGAAAGGUGCCAAGUUUGAAUCCCAGCUGCGUUACUUGGUGACUUAACCGCUGGCGUGAGUGUGGUGGCCAGCUUGCGUCAGCCCCAGCCCCGGGUUAUUCCCGCCGACUAUCGGCUUUCGGGGUUUCCCGAGUUACAAAAAAAAAAAAACAUUUUCCCCUACUUUAGAAGACUUUUUUCCUUUGAUCGAAAACAUUUUCCUUAAGGAAUUUAUUUUUCGUGAAACGAAUGUCGGAAAAUCCGGAAAAUGUUUUAUUGGAAAUUAUUUUCCGUGAAACGAACGGAGCUAACCAAAAGAAAAAAAGUAUAUUUUAUAUCUAAACAAAUUAAUGAUAUGUUUUGACAGUACUUUUAUAAUAUUAUUUGAGAGCUAUGUAUUCUCAACAAAAUAAUAAUCAACAAACAUGUUUAACUAAAUUAAUAUUUUUUAACAUGAUACUUAUUAAACUUGGGAAGUUUACAUUUGAGUGAUGAAAUAACUUUUCAGUUACAACAUUUUUAGAUAUUUAUAGAAGAAUGAUAAUUAGUAAUAAAACUAAACAAUUUCACAACCAUAUGCUUGCACAGAAGUGAUAUUAACAUAAUAUAAUUAUUCUUCAUGUCCGGUCUAUCUCUUAGCAAGAUCUUAUUAAUUUAUGGGCAAAAUUGAUCAUAAAAUUAUAUAAUUGCUAUUUCUUUGUAACAAAAUCAACACGAAAUGAAAAGUUAGCAUCAAACAUAUAUAGUAAUGACGAGAUAUGAAAAUCAUUUAUAUAACUUUUGAUAUGUUUCUCCCACAUACAAUAAAAACCACUUGUUGAGGAAACACAUGAUAAGAAAGGAAUGUAAAACAUGCGCGUACUUCUUGGGAUGGAAUUCCCAUUUUCAUUUUGCUAUUGAGAAUUGUAAACAAGGUACAACAGAAAAAGAGGGGAACUCUACAAUUGGGAUUCUUUAGUGCUGUUACAUGCUUUGAUGGUAACUUUGAUAUAUGCAUUUGAAGUUUUGAGCCGUAAGAGACAUGUUGUUUCACAUAUAAAGGAUAUGAGUUAGUUUCUUAUUUCCCAUAUAAAGGGCAUGCGAUUUUGAAGUGGUGUGUGCAUAUAUUAAUUUUGAAAGGGUGAGACUUUUGGGAAUUGAAAAGCUGCAAAUUGUGAAGGGCAUAAUUGGAAGAGGAAAAGUUUGGGAAGACCCUCUAGAGCUUCACAUUUUUACAUAAAUUACCACAACCUGUCAUGUCAUGAAAUCGAAAGUGAGAAGCCUAAGUCAUGAUAGUACGUCAACAAAUUUGAAAUCAAUACAUUUUUUUCUCAUAUACAGUUGCUUUCAACCCAUUAUUCAAAACAACGAUUUACAAUGUUGCCUAAUUGCAGGGCACUAGUAAAAUUGAGGCCCUUCGUCUUGACUUAGAUAAUGGGAGAGAAAGUUACACAGCUGAAACAUUUAAAGAAUUGACCAAAUUGAGGAUACUUCAACUGGAAGGUGUGAAUCUCACUGGACAUUUUCAGAACUUGUUUCCUCAACUAAGAUUGCUUGAGUGGAUGGAUCAUCAACUGGAUUUUGAAUUGACCAACUUUCACCUGAAGAAAUUAGUCGUGUUCGAUUUGUCGUGGAGCAAGAUUUCGAAGAACUGGGGAGGAUGGAGUCAACUAAAGGUAAAAUGUAGAGAAUGCAUAUCUCUUACAAAUAAUCACGUGUUGUCGAUGGGCCCAAUUGCACCAAGUUAUCGUUUAUUUCUUUUGAAAAUAUAUAUUAUGGAUUUUCUUCUAAGCAUAAGAGGAAUUUAUAGGCACCUAAAUAUGUCAAAAGCUUCUACCCCUUAAUAUUUUAGUAAACUAGUCAUGCUUAACAUCAUACCUACUAAUAAAAACUUUUUUAAUCGUAUUAAUGAAACAUCUAUCAAAAAUAUAAUUACAAUAAUGUGCCCAUGUUAAUUUUAAUCUAAAUGGUUUAUGGCUUCUAGUUAAUUUCUCCCCAUGCAAAAGUAUGUCUUUUUAGCAAUUCUUGUUAUAUGUAUGUAUGUAUCUUCUUUCAUAAAAAUGCAAAGACCCUCACAGUGACUUGUGUUUUACAUACAUACUAAAAUUCUAAAUUCAUUGUUACUUUUAAAGUAAUGGAAAUAAUUUGUGAACUGCUUUGACUUGUUGCGCACAAUAAUUAUUCAUUAUUAUUGUUGAUUGUUGAAGUCACCGUACAACACAUUUAUAAAGUAGUAAUGUCAUAUGAGUAACACAACACUUUUUUAUGGCUUGUACAUAUAGCAUUUAAAAAUUGUUUUUCUUAAUUAAAGUAGCCAUUUCUCUUUAAUUUCAUACUAAUUGAAGGAAAGCACCAAAUGAAUGCAUCUCAUUUCUUCCAUUUGACUUUGUCAUAUUAAUUUGAUAAUAAAAUUUGUGUAUCUCUAUUCAAUAAAUAACAACAUAGUCAUAACUUUGAAAAACUAAACAUGACAUUUUCUAAGAAAUUUUAUUUGCGAAAAAUUGUAGAUAGCACUCAUACAUCCCUAACAUUCUCUUCGCAAUGAUAUGCUUAAAAACAUUUAUAUGCUAGCUUCGCGAAUACACUAUUGAAAGAAAACAUUUAAAAUUAAAUAAGAUAGUUGUGUAAGUGUGGGGAGAAUGGGAUUUUUUUUUUAUCCAAUCUCAAAGUGGUAACCUCUUUCUUUCAGAUAGCAACCGAGCUCAAGGUUCUCAACCUUACGAAUUGUGCUUUGAGAACAAUUCCCGACUUGUCCGCUUUCAAGAGUUUGGAGAUUUUGAUACUUGAAGCUUGCGAGGAUCUAGAAGAGAUUCAUCCUUCUAUUGAGGACAUCAAGACUCUUGUCUCCUUGAAUGUCAGUAAUUGUUUGGAGCUAAAGGAGCUACCACUAGGAGUAGGUAGAAUGGAAAAUUUGAGCAAGCUUCUCAUAGAUAACACUAAUAUACGAGAAAUUCCUAUUUCAAGAGGUUGUUUGACAAAGCUGGAGACUUUACAUGCCUCAGAUUGUAGACGGCUUGCUCGACUUCCAGAAUCCUGGGGCUCCCUUAUGUCGUUAACUCAACUAGACCUAAAAAAAACAGAAAUUGAAGAAUUACCUGAAUCCAUUGGAUCAUUAAAGAAGCUCAAGACUCUAAAUACCUCUUAUUGUGCAUCGUUAACCUGCCUACCCAACUCAAUAGGCGAUUUAGCAUCUCUAUGUUGCCUUGACCUAAGCAAUUGCCAAAAGCUUGCUCAACUUCCAGACUCCAUAGGCUCCCUUGUGUCUCUAUCGCAAUUGUUGUUGUCGAGAUGCCACUCGUUGAGACAAAUCCCAUGCUCGAUUGGAAAGUUGACAUCAUUGACUGAGCUGCAUUUGCAAUCUACGGCCAUUGAAGAAUUACCUGAAUCCAUUGGUUCAUUGAAGGAGCUCAAGACUCUAGAUGUCUCUUAUUGCACAUCGUUAGCUCGCAUACCCAACUCGAUAGGCAAGUCAAUAUCUCUAUCUCGCCUUGACCUAACAGGAUGCCAUAAACUUGCUCAAUUUCCAGAC
rnacentral:lncRNA from 1 species